rnacentral:lncRNA from 1 species
UAAAAACAAUAAAAAGUUACGCAAGAAAUAGAAACCAUCCCUUUUAGUUCAAAUAAGAAGUUUUCUCGUAUGCAACAUAGCAAGAUUGUUCCAGUGAUUCGAUAUCUAUAUAUCUAUAUUACGGUUGCAAAUUAUGUAAUUACGACAUGAUAGAAUUAACAAGUUAUUUCAGUAAAGCAUAGAUUCAUGUCACUUAGCAGUUGGGUGCAGUACUGCAAUUUGUCCAUCNNNNNNNNNNNNNNNNNNNNNNNNNNNNNNNNNNNCUCUGGAGAACAAGUAAGGGUACUGGCUGUAGUAACUGACCAUAGAAGCAGCUGUAUUGUCACUCAUGAGAGCUUGGUCUGAUUGGAGUAGCCCGGGAAUUGUUCAGAAGAAGCUUGUAAUAAGAGUUGUCGAAUCUGGAAGAAGUGACAGAAUCUAAAGGAGCCAAAUUUGUAUCAGAAUCUGCUUGGUUUGGACAAACACCUUGCAGACUUUGAAGAAGUGAUGUAUCUAGUGCUGGAUCAGGUUUGCCAGAGCCACCAAAGUCGAAAAGCCUUGGUUUGAAUGUGAAGCACUGAGCAAAGCCGAGAGUGUGUCCGCCUGUAUUUAGCAUAAAGAAUCGUCUAUCAUUUGUUAUGAAAUGCUGCCUUGAUUAGUCUAUUUGUAUGCAUGAGAUGAAGAAAGAUGUUGAAGCAAUAACAUAUAAGACAAGCACUCGGUCACUAGGCUAUAUGUUCUAUAUAUGUCCGAAGUUGGUUCUGGAAUCAUCUUCUAGAUUAAAAUUUUUAACAAGCUAUUCCUUGCACAGUGAAUUGUUGUAUAUGAAUCUGCAAUCAGCUUUUUUUUCUUUAGUUCCAUCCAAGCCAAGUUCUCAACUUUAAUUUUUUUAUUUUUAAGUGGCGUGAAAGCAAUGCCAUUGAAAACAAACCUGAGAGCACGACGACAUCCUUCAAUUCCAGACCCUUUGCGGUAAAUUUUGCAGUUAUGUUCUGUAAAGACUCAAAAGGUGAUGGGAGUUGUUCAUCAGCAGCACUCUGACUUGCUGUUAGACCAUCUCUGCGACCCAAAGGUAUACUCCAAUAAGGGCCUCCAGCCUAAGGAAGAUGAGAAAGAAAAAUGGUGAAUGUGAAUACAACAAUAAUAUUCUAUGACAUACAAGCAUACAAGAAGAGCUUCAAUUUCUUACAAGAUAAACUGCCUCCCUUGCUGCAAGAGUCAGUAUAUCAGCACAAGAAACAGUGCCAGGACAGAACCUCUCCAAAGUAGCCUUAAUAUUGUCAAUAACCUCAAAUCCUCUGGCUGAAUUUUGAUUUGCCAAUGAACUUUUUUCCCCAUUAUCACCAUCAAGUAGCACAGAUCCUUCACAUCCCUAUAUAUACAUAACAAGAAACAGUCGACAGUCAGUUUCAGCAGCUAAAUUUCGCAAAAUUACUAACUAAGCACUUUUUGUUAACUAUUCUCUCUUCCAUUUUCCUAAGGAUAAAGUCAGAAUGAUAAAACAAGUAAUGGAUUUGAUUACGUUAACAAAGCAAUCGUGGAAGUGAAGCCUCAAGAGAGAGGCUGCCAUCCUGGUGUCAUUUGAUAUAGCUGACCAAACACCAUAGCGAACAAUUCUCGUCAGGUUAGGACAAGUGCCAUCAUAGUACCUAUAAUCAAGUUGGCAGGUGACAAAAGCACUCAAGAACAUGAGGCAAAACAAGUAAACAAAGGGGAGUUUAUAGUUUGUAUGCUCCAUGUGUCUAGAACUGAAACAGAAGCUGUUCUAAAAGCAGAACCGGCAAUGUUACGAGCAAGCAGUAGUGUGCAGGAACUUGCAAUUUAUACAUCAACAAGGAGAACGUUAAUCUGUUGCAUUAUUAAGUGAUAACGCCACUGAAGAUUUCCUCUCAUUGAAUUUGGUACAAUUCCAUAAACUUGUAAGACCCACUACAUCUAGUUAGUGGCAUGAUGAUGUUUCCCAUCUAGAAAAGCAGCAUAAAGCACUGUUUUUAUACUCUUAAGUUUGACUUAAAUCUUUGCAUGCGAAGACAAAAUGCACUUCAAAACAGAUAGCAAAGCCAUUUCUGGUAUAGACUUUAGAUACUGCUUGCAAUUCCAUCAAAUUGAUUUCUAAGAAAAAAAAGAAUCAUAUGUCAGAUAAAUCUUGGCAUGCUCAAUGAUUUUUAAGUGAAGAAGGAAAUAUGUAUCAUAUAAAUAUGUGUAUUCUCAACUAGGUAGUGGAAGACAUGCAGGUUGCAUAAUGGAGGCUGGUGAGAUGGAUCCAUCACGGACUUGCAUAUAAGCUCAUGACAUGUAAGUGGAGGUGAUAAUUUAAUAUCAAACAAAGCAUUAGCCACUUCAAAUAAUAAAGGGUCCUGAAAGGAAGGAUGAAUGACCAAUAGGAGUAACCGGGAGGUGGUGGUAGGCUGCUAAAAUUGGAACUGAACUUGAUUCCUUAUGUAUAUUAUCCAUCUUAAAAGAAUCAUCUCAAGCUUCAUAGGAGAACUAGUGGGGGAGGUGUUAUCCAUGGAAGAUCAGAUAGGUAUUGUUAGAUUAAGAUCUUUCCAAGGCCACACGUUAAAUAGUUCUGUACUCAAUAUUUUCCUGACCAUUUUGUAUAUGCUUUGCAUUCUCAGACAUGAGUGAUAAGACUUCCAACAUGGGUUUGCUUACUUAGUUAUAGAAAGCUCAAUAGAUUUAUGCUACACAUUAUAUUAUACUCCCUAUCACCAUAAUUCAGCAAAACCUCUAUUUACAGUAAUACAUUUGAAACCAAAUGAAAUUUAUAAUAAUAAUAAAAUUAUAAUUUAAAAAAAAUUUAAGUACUAAUUUUUUAUUUAAUAUUUAAUCUUAUUGGUGAAAUGAUAAAAAUCAAUAAGAUAUAUUAAUAUCUUGUCAUAUUAUACAAAUAAAAUUAAAAAAAAUUAAUAUAAUAAGAUAAAACAUAUCGUAAUAUAUAUUCUAUAAAAAUAUGUAUACAAAUAUUAUUAUAUAAAGAAAUAUGUUGUUAAGAUGAGAUAAUAUAAAAUUUAUUUCUAUUCACAAUUAGUCUAAAUUGGAAUUAUAACUAUGUAGGGGAUGUUUUGACCCCUUAAAUUAGACUUUAAUCUAUUUUAAUACUUGAAAAUUUUAUAAUUUACUGACUCAAUGGAUGCUGUACCUUUUUGAAUCCAAGUUCAAAGUUCAAUUGCUUUUUGUGAAUGGAUAUGCAGAGGUGGUGGAUAGCAAUUGAGUCUUAAUUAAAUUUUCCAGGCAUCAUAUUUUUCUUAAUAUAAUUACAUGUGUUCCACUUUCCUACGUCUUACUACCCCUCUUAGUAUAGAUCUCUCUCUCCACUACUGCAUUUUAAUAUAUGAGUUAAUUAUAUUUUUGGGUUACAUGCAGCUAUUACAUUAUUAAUUUAUCAAUCAAAUGAAGAAGAAUCCUGAGGAAGAUAACCUCUCUAUAACUUAAAUGAUCUUCAAAUUAUAACCUCUUUGUUAGUGUUAAUGUACUCAAAUAAUUCUAAGUUAUAACGGGGGUUGGUUGAGUCAUAAAAAUAUUUAUUUUUAAAAAAUUAAAUUUUGAAUUUAAAUUUCUAUUUAUAUAUUAAAUGAAUUUUUAUUUUUAUAUCGACGGUGACUAUUUAUAUCAUGCAGUCCUGUGAUAAUUUUAUAUUCUUUUAAAAAUAUAUUAAGCAUAUUUUUAUAUUGACAUUAUUAGUAGUAAAAGUAAAAUUUACGAGAGGGGGAAGGAGGCAGGAAAGAAAAAUGAGUACUAAAAGUAACAAAAAAGAAUUACAGGAGCUGGUGGCGGCCAUGGCCCCCCUCACAGCGCCCCUUCCCUCCGCCAUUGGAAGAUUAUCUCUGUCUCAUAUUUAUUCAAGUUUUGCUUCAUGUUUAUCAGGAUAAAAUUGUACUAUUUCUUAAUGCACCGGUUUUUGUCAAUCAUUCAACAAUUUCUUUAGCCAAAGAAUGUCAAGAAAAUGCAUGGAACACCAUAAAAAGGAAAGGAAAUAAAAGCACUGUUUUUUGGAAUGAAUUCUCAUAAAAUUUCCAGUCACAGAAAACCAGGAUAAUAUUUCUACAUCCAUAGCGAGUAAGUAAACAAGCAACAGAAAGUCUGAAGGAAGUUAACAGAGGUUGCAGAAGAGGUAAUCAAGGCAGCUUUCUGAGCAAUCAAAACAGCAAGAACAACUGCAAAAUAUGUAAAUAUAUCCCAUUAAACAAACAGUUAAGAGAACAACAAAUGAAUCAAUCUAUUUAAAAGAAAGAGAUUUCUGCUUAUUUUUUAAAUUUUUAAUCUUUACCAUUCAUUGAUAACUUUGUCUUGUUCAUCUUCUCCGGCCUGAAUAUUCCUCUCUAUGGACUGUGAUGCAGGUGGCUCCAUCUCUCUCUUUUAACUUUUCAAUUUAGAUGGUUUUUUCUUUUUUAGGCUUUCUCUUUCUAUAGAGAAUGAUGGAGAAAUGAGAUUGGGCAAAUAUUAUAAAAGAACUGAAACAGAAAGAAACAUACCAAAACAAAGCCCUAUUAUCACGUGACUGCACUUUUGCUCUUGUUUUUAUUUGAUGGGAAAGUUUGACAUUAAAUUACUCUCUUUUUAUUUUCCUUUGCAUCUAAUUUUUCGUUUGAGUAAUAAAUACCUGAAUAUUUUGUAAUUCAUAAUGAAAAUAAGUGAAAAAUAUUUUAUAUGUGUUAUGAUUAAUAUUCAGAGUUGUCCAACUGAUUUAGAAAGUAUUUAAUAGGACCUUUGCCAUGAUAAUAACAUUUUUAACACAGCUCAAGGCGCCAACUCAAAAGAUUUUGUUAAAUUUAGGAUUAAUAUUUUAAUUUAAAAUAAACAGACAAAAAUGAAAAAAGAAAGUUAGACUUUGGACCACUCAUGUUAAGCCCAAAUAAAUUUGCUUGGAGUGUUUUAUUCAAUAUUGCUUUUCUUGAAUUUUCUUUUUAUUUGAACAAUUGCUUUUGUUGAUUUGGGGGAAAGAAGAAAAAGAAAGUUUGGUAGAUGGGGAUCCCGUCAAAACUAAUGUCGAGGAAUGGGCUAGGCCGGAUCAUUUCUUAAAAACAAUAGUUAAAAGGACCAUAUACUACCAUUUGGAUUUGAAAUCUAUAUGCUGCCCAGUGAUUUGGACUGUAGACCGAUUAUAAAAUCCUGUUUAAAAAGUGGAAGUAUUAAUUCUCUGCUCUCAGAUUGAACAGUAAGAAUCGGAAAAGGGCAAUCACUCGUUUUUAAAACCAACUCAAAAACACAUAGAUUUGAAUCUCUUGUUGAAAGGCUUUUUGAUCUUUAUAUAGGGUAUUACUAAGGUCACAAUUUAUUUUGUUAAUGCCAUGCCAAACAAUUAAAUAUUCAUCUUGAAGUUAAAUUUUUGUAUUAUUAAAUAUUUAACAUAAGAUGUCAAGUUCGAGCCUUUUUUUAUUUAUAACUUAAAAAAACUAUAUAUUAACAUAAUUUAUAAAAAGAAAAAAACUUCUUCCAACUUCCUUUUUUUCUUUCUUUUGUUUCUAACAGCCUCAAUAAGGAAAAAUCCUCUGAGUUAGUAUAAAUUUCAAGUAUAAAAAUUACAAAACCUAAAGAGUUGAGAGAACACCGUCAGAAAUGGACUGAAAACUACUUAAAUCAUUCUGCUCACAUGUAACUCCCCUUGGGUAUAAGAGUGACUUUAACCAUCUUUUUUUUUUUUUUUCUUUUCUUCUUUUUUCAUUUUUCCCUUUUCUAAAUUCUACAAAUACAUCCAAGAAUUUAUCUCAGAAAAUAUACAUACAAAUGAACUUCUGCAAUUGCUGAAGCUUUAGAUUAGUAUACAAAACCUGCUUCUGAAAUCCCUGGUGCUGAAUGUAUUCGCUGGAAGAAGAAGCUUUUCAAACUUCAGAAGCCUCUGAUUACACAUGAGGGGUGGGAUAGGAUUUGCUACUGCAACAAACCAACAACCUACGUCCGUCACUACCAGCCUAUUAAUGUCAACAAACUCGAUCUCCUUCAAUUACGCUAUGUUAAAAACGUGCAAAGGUUCUUCCGUUUCCCUUGGUUAUUUUAUGAUAUGGCUACUUUUAACACCAUGUUUACUCAAGUUGAGAGUAGAUGAAGAAGCGUUGCCAUAAUUUAUGUUGUGACCUGGAGGAGAUGAAAUUGGAAGAACCUCAAGAAUAGAGCGAGGAGAAUAACAGGGCGCCUCCAUCACCGUCAAGUUGGAAGUUUUAUGAUGAAAUCUUCUGGCAGUCUCGCUGAAGAAAAAGAAUAACGCAUGAAGCUGAAGCCAUGCAAGAGUAACAAAUAAGGAUUACUGGCUUGAUAAUGCAUUUAACUUAAACUGAAAUGAGGUAGGGAAACACAGAAAAUAACUGUUACCUCUCAGAAGUCACCUUUCCCUUUGCGCUUUGCGACGCAGGUGGUAUUGGCAUCUGAUCAAGCUUAACUUCAGACCCAUUUGAACUGUGUGUUAAAUCCUGCCAAUGCAAUAUGAAAUAUAAUAAAAACUGACAAAAUUAGUUUCAGUGAAGGAAAAAUCAAAAAACAAAAUCACAAGGGAAUGGAACUGGUAGUUUACCAUUAAUUUUAUCCCAUUAAUUGACCGGGUGGAAGACGGAAAAUCAAGCUGUUGUGAGUUUCUCAACCAACGGUGCUCUAGUAGCAUGCUUGCUGAUGGCCUGUCAGCAGGAUUCCUUUGGAAGCAGCAAUGCAGAAAAUCCUUGCCCUCAGGUGAUAAUGUUUCGGGUAUUGGUGGAAUAUCCCUCAGAACUUUAAACAUGGCUGCAGCCUGUGUGUGGAAGAGAAUUUAAAAUGUCAAUUAAUAUAGGAAAAAAUUGAAGUAUAUGUUUGCAUGAAAUCCAGAAUAAGUAACAGCCAUAAACUUUGUAUUUCACUCUAGAAGAAAUAUUUUCAGUGACCUAGAUAUGGAACCUGCUUGAAUCCAAGAGUUAUCAAGUAUAUAUUCAUCUCAUCGGACAAAUCUACUAGGCAUCUAACUCGCCAAGAUUCAUUCAUAUCCAUAAAAAACGCAUAUUAUGCAGAGAAUAAGCAAGCCAUUUGGUAGAAAUCGCAGAAUUUAAUCCUUAGCUUAUGGCCGCAUACAUUUAUAAUAAGAAUUACUUUCCCCACUUCAAUUCAAAUAGAAGAUGCAUUAUGGACAUUAUCUACUAUUAAUAUAAAGCGUCCCAAUCACUAAUAUAAGACCAAGAAUCUAAGCAUCUUCAGACAAUAGGGUUGUUCUUGUUCCUCAAUAAUACAAACAUACUACUACCACCAAGUUAUUAUUUCACCAUAAGGACUAAAUUGAACAAGUGGAAGAAACACAAUAACAAAAGGGAAAGCUACACAUAUUUCAAAAUUAUAAACAACGUUUCCCUCUUCUGGAAAUAUUCUUUAUCUAGAAUAAACAGGGGAAGGCUUUGCCAGCAUCAAAGAAUCUAGAACAAGUCACCUAUAUCAUCUAAUCUUCCCUUUUCCUAGCCAAAAGAAGAUACAAGUCACAAGUUACGAACAAAUAAUAUCAUCUCAUAGAAUCUUAGGAAUAGAAGGAAAAAAAGGAAAGAAAAAAAAAAGAAAAAAAAAAAGUGCAUAGCCAUGAUUCAUUACCCAGGGAAGAGGGAAGAGGAAAAAGGGUAUUUUCUUGAGGAACCCAGUUCACUUCGAGAAAAGUAAUGUGUUGUCCCCUUUUUGGAAGGUAACAGUGCAUUUAGAGUAGAAACAUCCCUGCUAAUUACAAUGUUGAAAAAUUCUAGCCCUUGUAUCCUAAUUUAUAUUUCACGAAGAACAUUCCUACCCACUUACUUCUUUUGCUAACAGUUUCAGUUGAGGCCAACUUAAGGAAAUAAUGGAUAAAGGGAAUUACAAAAAUUUGGUUCUUACCCCCUCGUAAUCACUCCAAGGAGGUUUUCCUGUGAACAUUUCAAUAAUAGUACAGCCCAGACUCCAAAUGUCAACAGCAAGUGCAAGAUCUGAGCUGGUAUCCUUCUGCAUUACAGCUUGCAUAAGCUGCAGAGAAGACGGAGAUAUUAGAAAAGAAAAGGUAAGCAACCAUCAAAUAUUGAUGUAGCAACAAGAAGGUACCUCCGGGGCCAUCCAGUAUGGGCUUCCCUUCAAAGACAGUUCAGCUGCCUGUCCAGUAAGCUGAGAAAGAUACAAGUCCGUCAUUUUACAAGACCAUUAUCAGAAAUAAAAAGUUGGAUAUAAAAUAUCACGACGUGAAUCAUAAAGGAAAAUAUAAUAGAAGGCAUGUUUAAUUGUGUAUCGCCACUGAAAUAAGGUUGUUACAUUUUAAUAGGGUACAUUUUUUUUUUUUACUAAAACGAAGGAGUCACCUAAUAUAGGAAUAUUGCAUUCACAAUCCCACCAAAGGUUCCAAAAUUAAAGUCACCAAUCACUUAUUACCUGCUGCUGUGAAACAAAAUAAACCAAUGAAGGUGCUACAGAUAGUAGAUCACACAAAUCUAUUGCUUUUGCAUACUAGGGCCCAUAGUUUUGUGCAAUUGAGUAUAUGCACAAUUUUUCACAGUAAAAUUAUCUGUAACAAUAGGCUUAAUUACCAUUUCCACGUCUCUAAACUUCUUUUCAAAAAUUACGAGAAUAUUUGUGAAGCAUAAAAAGGAAGAAUGAGGUAUGAAUAAGAUUUAGAUGCUCUCUGAAAAGAAAUGUAAAGGAGAAUUAAGAGAUCUGAUAAAUCUGAAAAAGUAUACAAGGGAAUAAGACAAAACAGGAGUAAGUAGACUUAGUAAAAUAAUCAGGAUGGCUGAUAUCUAAAAUGCAUUUGUUACCGAGAACUUUAAGUACAUGAUUGAGUUCAUGUGACCAACAGGUUUCUUAGAAAAAUUGAAAACCAGUACUCACAUGUUUCGACAUCCCAAAAUCAGCAAGCUUAACAACUCCAGAUGCGUCAACAAGCAAAUUAGCCCCUUUUAUAUCUCUGUACAAACAAGAAAUAAUCUAUUUAUUUGAAAAAUAAUAAAAUAAUAAAAUUCACAGUAUCACCUUUGAAGACUAAAACAGAACUUGUUCCUGUACCUGUGUAUCGUUUUCAUGCUAUGCAAGUAGGCCAAUCCUGAUAGAAUGUGACGACUAAAACUACGAACAACAUUUUCUGUUAUGGCUCCACAAUGUUCACGGACAUAUUUAUUAAUUGAACCAGGAUGAACAUACUCUAGAUAUAUAUAGAAGUGGUCUCCAACCUGCAUAUGCAUAAGAUUGUUAAUCAGUGAGGUCUUAAAGAUACCAUGGCCUGGCACCCUGAAGCUUGGAAAGCCUAAAGAUGCAUGUUGAGGUUACUCACUAUUUCACUACCAUAAUACUGCACAAUGUUCGGAUGCUUUAGGUGGCUGAGAACUUUAAUUUCCUGAAAUUAAUGGAGCAAGUAAAUAUAGAUUAAAAGGAAGCAAAAUCUAACACAUACUUGCAAUAAACCAUGCAUGCUCAACAAAACGAGAAGUAAAAAGAAUAUACAUAUACAACCUAAAACUAUGCAUAUCAAGAACUAAUAAAAGCAACAGUAGAUGCACAAGGAUACUCAUCAACCAAAAAGCUAGUACAGAAUCUUCAGAACAAAGAUUAAGAAGAUUAUGCCACGUUGUAUUAGUUUAAAGAGCAGUUGAGGAAGACAGAAUCCACAUAUGAAAUCACUGCAAAUGUGGUUAAAAACCUGUUCUAAUUGCUUUAUAGACUCUGCAGAUUUUGGGUCAUCUGGAAACAUGUCAACUUCCUUCAUUGCGCAUAAUGCCCCAGUUUCCCUGUAGGCAAUAAAGACUGUGACCAUUAGCAUCUCAUGGUGCAAAAGAAGGUAGGCGCAAGAGAAUAACAGAGUUUGCAUACCUAUUGCUGGCAACAUAAACACUGCCAAAUGUACCACGCCCAAUUAGCUUUCCUUUCUGCCACUGACUUUUUAAGGGUAUGGACUCUGCUUUAGAAAUAACUUGGGGAACAGAAGAUGAUAUUGAAGGCCUGGAACUGGAAGCUCCAGGAGGAAGAGGCAAUGGGUGAACCUCAAGAUUAGCAUUACAUUCACGGGAAGUUUCAAUAGAUAGUCUAGCAUUUAGUGAUGCAGGUCCUCCAGUAGGACUUUUAGGAUUCCUGCGGGGACUUCUACUAGGUGGACUAUGAAGAGGAGAAGUAUCAGUACUAAAAGCAGUAUAAUCAAAAAAUGCAGGGGGAGGAAGGCCUGGUAUAUCUAAAGUGGCCAUCUCAGGGGCAGACCACACUUGAUUUCCUUUAGCAAUCAUUUGAUAAUAAGGCAAGAAAUCAGCUGCAGUUGUUAAUUUCUGCGGACUUGAGAACGGACUAGUAGGCGCACUCCUUAUUGGAGCAUUGAUCCUCGAGUAAUCUGCACAAUGAUCCACGCUAAAAUCCGGAUGCACCUUCCUUGGUGAUCUUAUAUCCAAUGGAUCCACCUUCCUCCUCCCUUGUCGCCCAGCCAAUAUACUGUAAUACACCACAACAACACAUGUAAUCAAUUCAAUGCCCGCAAAACUAUUUCUAAAUUCCUAUAUAUAAUAUCUAUAAUUCAUUAAUUAAUUUAAUUUAGAAUUGUUAACAAAAAUAACAGACAGAAUAAACUUCAUUAAAUAAGAACAAUAAAAAUUAAUUGCAGUAAAAUUGAAAUACCUAGCUUUUGGAGAAUUGGAAGAAGAUAAUCCAUCUCCGUUAACGCCGUCAAUUCUCUCUCUUGAACUAACACCGUCACGUUCCUUCUCUUUCUCUCUAGGCGACGGUAUCCGCGAAUCAGCGUCACCAGAAUGAACAGGUAACGGGAGGGGCAAAGGAACAGGAACCGACGACGACAAUCUAGGAGGCACAACAGCAGCAGCAGCACAUGAAGAACCACUCAGCGCAGCCGCUGUCGUCUCCGCCGAAGAUUUGACAGCGGCGGUUGCGGUGGAGGAAGAAGCUCUAUUAUUCUGUCCUGCUGUCGCUGUUGCUGCUGCCGGUGCUGCGGUGACGUCAUUUUCAGUAAAAUAUCGUAACUUCCUGUGACGCGUGCCGAAACGGAAACCUAAACCACCGCCUCGAAGAUAACUUCGAUGAUGAUGUUUCGAAGAAAAAUUAUGAUCACCAGUAGUAGCUGAAGAUGAUGCGGAAGAUGAGAGAACAGGUUUCGGCGACGAAGGCGUGGAAUUAUUAUUAUUAUUAUUAUUAUUAUUAUAAGCAGAGAAGGAAAUAUUUUGAAGCCAACGCAUGGCGAGAGAUACUGGAAAUGAGAUUAGUAAUGUUAAUUGUAAAGAUCAUGGUGAUUCUAAUUCACCACAGUCGCCGGUUUAGAGAAUUGAAUUGUGCAAACAUCUGAAAUCCAUAUCCCUCCCCGGUUCCCAAACGCGGAGGAAGAAAGAACGAAGGAAAGGGAAAGAGAGUGGAAGAUUAAAUUAAUGAUUGAUUGACGACGUAGAUGAUGUUCUUUACAAUUGGAUUUACCUGCACUGUAAGGUAACCAAGUCAAGGUGUUUGUUUGUUUCUCUCUCUUCCUCUCUUUCUCUCUCUUAUCUUGUUUGUUUGUUCGUUUGCUAGAGAGAAAAAGAGAGAGGAGACGGGAGGGAAAGUAACUAAAUUGUAUGUGAGAAAGCCGUUAAUUUAUUGUUUGUUUGUUGUGUAAUACUACUAUACAUGGAAAUGGCUUCGUGUAUUUGUCGCGUGUUUGUUUGAUUUCUAAUUAACUACUAACCAUCUUUUUAAAAAAAUAAUAAUAAUCAAACUACUAACCAUCUUUAUUCUUAAAAUAAAAUUAGCAAUUAGCCAUGCCAUCUUUAACUAAAUUGGAUUCAAUUACUAUUCCCAUAAACAUGAGACUUGAUCGAUUUUAUUUUAAUUUUAUUGAAAGAUAAAUUCAGAAUGUGAUGUAUAAUUAAUAAUUAUAUAAAAAUUUCAUGUUAAUCAACUAAUUAACAUUUGUGAAAUUUACUAUACACUAUUAUUUAUAAAAAAUUUAUAAUUUUUUAUAGAUUCUAAUAAAUUAUUACAAUAAAAAAAAGUUUGACUCUUCUAUUAAUUAAAUACAUAAAAUAUAAUUGAUAGUAUGUCAUAUAAGAUGAAAAGAUUAUUAAUUUAUCAAUCAAUAUAUUAUUAUAGUUAAAUUAGCUUAAAAUUAAAAAUAAAGGUAAUUUAUAAUCUAACCAUAUAUAGUAUGUGAUUGUUUCUUUUAAUUAAUUAAUUGUUGGAACCACAUUCUUCCAACCCAACUAUAUCAAUUAUAUAAAAUUGCAUUUUGUUGACAAACUAGAUAUAUGGAGACAGGCCAAAGAGUCCAAGUACAAUUAUUAGAAUUUAUUGAUUACUUCAAUUUUUUAAUAAGAAAGGAUAACUUAUUUAAACCCUAAGUUUCAAUAUUUAGUCCAUAAAGUGGCUUAAUUCCUCUCUUUUAAUACAAUAUAUCUUUAGAAAAAUUACUAAUAAUAUGUGAUUUUUAUUUCUCUAGAAUUAGUGAAACCUGUGAGAAGUUACAUGCAAGUCAUGAUGCUUCAAUGAAUCAUGUGUAAGGAAUCUACAACAGUAGAGAGACAAUGUAUUUUGGAAUGCCUCAAAUUUUCAACAUUUAUAAUGUAUUUAUGUUUUCGUAACUUAUCUUUCAACGUUUAGAGUUAAUCUAGAGCAUAUCGAUUAGGAUUUUUACAUUAACAAAGUAUUAUUUUAAAAGUUUUAACAUAACUGCAUACUCAAAGCUCGAAUUACACAUUUUAAUUAAACUAAAAAAAAAAACUCUACUUUUUAACUAUUUUAUUUAUUAAAUUUAAAAUAAAAUUUAAUUAUCCCAUAAAAAACAAAAUGGAAAACCUCUUCAAUUUGUUUAAACUUUUUUUAUUCUUCUCUUCUAAAAUAGAAAGUAAAACCUUUUCAAUCAUCUCUUAAUUUGCCACUUUUUUUUAGAACCUUUAAAAGUGGAGAAUACUUGAAUAAAUUUUUAAUUUCUUUUCCCUUAUUCUCUUUAAAUGAUUUAUAUUUUAUUAAUAAGUAAAUUAAAAAAGAAUGUAAAAUAUAUAUAAUAUUAUUGGAAUGUAUAUAAAAUAGAGUGCUAAAUUAUUUAUCAUCUAAUAAAGAGUAAAAUAAAAAAACUAUUGUUUAAAAUGCUCUUAUUACUUACUUUUCUAAUGAAAAUUUACAAUACAUUUUCAAUUAAUUAAAUCAUAAAUCUUAAAUAAUAUUUAGUUAAAAUUCAUAAAAUUUAUAGGGUUAAUUUAUAAAUUUAAAAUUUAUAUAUUAUGAAUAAAGUGAGAGUUAAUUUAAAAUUUUACAUAAUAAAAUUUAUGUAGAAUUAGUUAUAUCUAAACUUUAAUUCUAACAAAUUUAGAUAAAAUUUGUAAAUAAAUUUCAUAUUAGCAAAUAAAUACAUUCCAUAACAUCAAAGAGUUUUUCAAUUCCAUUGUCUUAUUUUUACUUUCUUAUGUCUUUUUUUAAAUAAAAUAAAUUUUUUAAUAAUUUUCAACAAAAUAGGGUAUUAUUUCUCUUAACAAUCAAUAAAACAUAGUAUUAAUCUCAAUUUAUUAAAUAAAAUUAUUCACAUGUGUCAUGAGUGGGCAAACAUGAAAAGUUGCUAAUUUUUUAUAUAUGUUUUUUUUUUUCUUGGUCGUAUAGAUUGAAAACCUUCAUGAUAUAUAGAGAAUAACAAGAUAUAUAUAUAUAUAUAAGGCUCCAAUUUGCUUAUUUAUUUCCAAAUGUUCUAAAAUAUGUCAACCUAUUGUGCUUAAAAUAUGAUUAUGAAUUGAUUAAAAAAAAUAAAAAGGAUUUUUAUCAUACACUUGAUGGGGACAUAUACCUUUUUAUCAAAAAAAAAAUAUAAAAAAUAAAAGGNNNNNNNNNNNNNNNNNNNNNNNNNNNNNNNNNNNNNNNNNNNNNNNNNNNNNNNNNNNNNNNNNNNNNNNNNNNNNNNNNNNNNNNNNNNNNNNNNNNNNNNAGAGCAGUAAAAUGUGUUUUUUCUUUUUCAUUUUUGAAUUUUGGUGAAAGAACCUUCUAUAACUAAUUUCAUCACCUUUAUUUAAGAAUUAUAAUAAUCCCAGUCAGUCAAAUUGGAUUAAUUGAGUUUGUUAUGAUUUUAUGUUGUAUAUGACUUUAUUUAAGAGAUUUUGACUUGGUCUAGGAUGAAACAUAUCUUAAAUUGACGUGUCCUUUUUAAUUAGUGCCCCCACCAUAUUGUCAGUCCAACUUGGAUUAAUUUCUUUUUCUUUUUUUAACAUUUGGAAUGCAUAUAGCUUCAUUCCAAAUUAAUUAAAGAUUUUAUUCAGGUUGAGGAAAAUAUUUGAAUAAAAUUAUUUAUUUUUAAUACAAGUUAAUUAUAAAUUUAAGGUCUACUCUUUCAAAGCCUCAGUAAAAACCAGACGCUUGUUUUAAUUUUUACAAACAAAUUGUUAAAUUUUAUUAAAAAAUUAAUUUUGUUGAUUGAGUUUAAGGCUUAGAAUUUCAAGGAUCAACAUAACUUCAAUUUAGUAUUUAAAAAUAAUUAAUCUCGAAUUUUAAAACUUUAGCACCGUCAUGAUCAACUACUAUUUCGAGUUAUGAUAAUUACUUUAGUUAAAUCAUACUAAAACUAUUAAGUCUUAUUAAAAUUAUUUAUCUUAAUAAAAUAGAAAUAUCUUUCUAAUUAAGGAAUUAAUUAUUUAUUUUUUUGACUAAAUUGAUUAACAAUGACAAUCAACAAAGCGGUACUUUAGUAUGGAUUUAUCAGUGUAAUAUGCUAAACCUCAAGGAUUAAAUGACAUAUAAAAAAUGAUUUUACCCUUUAUAUGUUAUUUAAUAGCCCUUUUUUAUUAAGAAAAGAAAAGGAGAAUAAUAGUUAAUAAAUGAUAUUGGUGUGAUAUGAUACCAAAUGAAAAACCAAGUCAUUAAAUUGACUUGCUGCUGCUUUGAUUUGUUCCAUCCGCAUUAUUAUUACAACUGUCAUCAUGCAAACUAAAUAUAACAACAGACCAAAUUAAUGUCCUCGUAAAAUAAUAAACUCCAUCCUAAGAAAAAUACCAUUAAAAGGAAUUAAGUUGCAAGUAUUUAUGUUUUUUUGUAAAAUACUUAGGUUACGUUUUAAUUAGAUCUCUUCUAUUUAAUCCGAAGGUUAAUACUGCAAUGAUAAGUUUAGACCCAUUUCAAGUUAGCAAUGACUACUAUAAAUAUUUUGCAACAGAAAAGAAAUAUGUAUAGUUCACACACAACAGGAGUUGUUACAAUCGAUCGCCCCUCGACCCCAUUUAUCUGACCAAAAAAUAUGCUAGAAAAAAUGAUCUCGAAGACUUCUUACUUCUUAGUAUGUCACUUCGCCAACUGAUAUGAAAAGUCGAUGAUCCACUACCUGUGGAAACUCUAUUCCAUAAAAGCAAUAUUGUUUAUUUUUCUCUUAUUAACAUACAAUUGACAAUUGGGUUUUAAUGAUCAUAGCAACACCACUUGUUACAAAAGGCUUAGGAUUACGAAUGGUCAUGCGACUGGAAAUGGAAAUGCUGUAAGACUCAGGAAGAAAUGAAGGAAAGAUAUAAAAGCUACCCGUAGCAUUACAAAUUGAAUUUUCAUACGCAUCCAGUGUACUAUCUGUUGAAAGAAACCAACAUAAAAGGGUGAACAGAACAGCCAUCUCAUUCUUGCAUGUGCCGCUUACGACAAAGGAUGAUUUCACAAUAACCAACUUUCUUUCCUUACCAACUGCCUGAAGUAAGAGCUGGGUAAACACAGUCAUCACAACAUGCCUAAUGAAUUCAUGCAUGCCAUACUAUGCUUUAAAGAUUGUUGUCCUCAUUCAAUUUUGGCAACCUCGGGCAAGAAACAAAACACAAUUAUUCUUCCAAGGGUUUAACCUGCAGUGAUUGCAGGCGUGCACUCAAAUGACUAUGCUUGUGCUGGUUCCGGUUCCGGUUCUGUUUCUGGUUCUGUUUCUGGUUCUGGGCUUUCCAAGUCUGUUGAUACAAUCUUACAUAUAGGAAUGUUCUCAUUCUUACUCAAGAGCUUCAAUGAUGGAUGAACCUCAACAUCACCCAUGGACACUUUAUCUCCAAUAUCAAGACUGCUCACAUCCACCUCAAGUUUUGGUGGAAUGUGUUCCGCUGGACAAAGGACUUUCAAAGAUUUUCGGAUCCUGUUCAAUUUGCCCCCUGUUUAAGCAUAAAAAGUAAAGUGAGAAAUAUAUCUGACAAAUAAACAUAUAACAGGAGCUUAUAAUAAGGUAAAAAGAAAUUACAGCUACUCCAGCUUAUGCUAACAUAAUGAUUAUGGACAUCAAUUGGUAAGAAGCUUACAAACACUUUAACUCCUAGAACUAAAAGGCUAGAAAUUCCAUUUAACUAACAGAAGUGAUAUUUACGUAAUAGAGCCUGAAAAACCAACUUCGACAGUAAAAUUGAACAGGAUAUCCAGCACAUCUCUUUCUUCCUCAGCCACCAAUUUGUUUCUUCUAAGUCUCAAAAGAAAUCAUUUGGAUGUAUGUGCAUUAUAUCAACUGAAAAUGCUCCCAAAACGCAUUUCAAGCAAAUCUCUAUUUUCUCCCCCUCAUUUUUGCUUGUUUUUGUUUGGGGUGUAUAUCACUAAAGAAAAUCAUCCUUCACAUAGUAGCAGAGUGUAACUUCCAUAAAUGAAAAGCAAUCAAUGGUAAAUUUCUUAAAUGCAGCCUACCACCCAAGCAUGAAAAUGAUGUAUUCAAACACCAUAAGCACUAAUCCCAAACCCAUAUAUAAGACCAAGGAUAAGAGAUGACAAAGGUAUAGUGAAAUUUUCCUGAUGUCCUUAGGAUAUAAAAUGCUGGUAAAUUUGGUGACUUGCUAUGGCAGAGGGCCAACAAUAUUGAUAUCAUGUCAUGGCUUCAAAACCUUAAAGAAUUGGAAAUGUGGAAUAGAUGAUAACCACAUAAGAAAAUGAAAAUUGAAAGUGGAAAAUAAAAAAUGCUUGCAUUCUUAGGGUUAUCCGCUGCAAAGAAGAGUGCUGCAAUGUGUUGGCUAACAGUGAAAGAGGAAGAAAAUCAGAGAUGAGACAUCAGCGUAUGAAACUAUGGAAGAGGGUAUAUGGCAGGGUAGGAGAAACACAUCUCUCCACAUGCAAAAGCAUGAAGAAGAAGGCACGCCAAGAAGAUUAGGGCCCCUUGCUUGAUCUUAUGUUAAGAGUUCAAACUAGUUAGUGUCUAUGUUAUUAAUCUUAGUCCUGAUGCCCAUGCAGGUGUAACAAUCUGAUUUCUUUAGACCCCUAAUUACCUUGCUUCUAGAAAGUUUCAGCAAGCUCCAACAACAUCUUUUCCUAAAUUUGCAGAAAGCAUGAUUCAAUAUACAAAACUAGAACCUUCUCUAAAGUUUCCAUGCCGAAAUUCCUAAUCUUUUUAAUAUCCUAAACCAUCAAGAAUGCCAAGUCAGUAAAUUUGUAUUUUUCUGGCUUAACUAUAUAGAUACCGAAUUCGAGAAGUAUAAUUGAUAUGUAUCUACAGUACAAUAUUUGAUGUGUGCAUAGUCUCAAGAACCCAACAGCAUAAAAGCAAGAACUUGAAGAAGGCAAAAAAAAAAUACCUUUCUUAAGACCAGGACAAUCCUCUUCUCCUUUAAAAAUGAGGGGUACAUCAACUUUCAAUUCAGUUCCAUCAUCAGCCCAAACAAACACCAAAUUCAAUAUUUUCCCAGUCUCCUCAUCUCUAUGCACCUAUCACAAUCCAAUUUAAAACAAUAUCUGUCAACAAGUUUUCGGGCAAUGAACAAUUAGCUUCAAAAUACAUUUCCUAUCCACUUUACUCCAAAACUUCUUAAAUGUGGCCAAUUAGGUCCAAUUCAGUAUUGAACACAUUGAUCCAAAAGUUAGACCAAAUUGGCUAAAUUGUCAAAGUCAUCGAGUAUUAUGCCAAAAACAAAACUCAAAGGGCAAUUCACACAUAUAAGCCAUAUAUCAAAUUGAACAACAACAACAAUCAGUCAAGUUAUAUUAGGAAUUAUUCUCCAAAAGAAAAAAAAAGUUAAACUAAAAAAUUUACCUUGAUGGGCAAAAUAGUUCCGGAUUCAAUAAGAACGGAAGACCCGGACCCGGCCCGGAUCUGGAGAUUGAAAGUAGUGGAGCAAAAGAACGGUAACUCAACAGAUGUAAGAAUUGAUUGAAUCUGCUUUCUCUCAGUUGUUAAUAACUGUUUUCUUGAGAUUGAUCGAGAAUUAGGAUUUUUAUCUAGUAGCGAUUGAGAGAAAACCACUGCCGGUAUUCUGCCUUGCGCUCGGUCGCGCGCCGCGACUCUGCUACCUGUGCAUUCUCUAGGGAUGGCUUGGAUCGUGUGGUAAAAAGAAGAUUGUGAGUUUAGUGAAGGUGAUGAUGAUUGAACCACCGUUUUAAGGCCGCGCAACCACUUGGCCAUGGAUUUUUCUUUUGUUGGCAAUUAAAAUUGGUCAGGGUUAGGGUUUUUGAGUUUUUGAAUUCAGGGUUUAAGGUAUGGGGAAAACUGAUUUGGAUUUUAAUUUGGGCCUGUUCGCCUCGGACAGAACUCAGGAGUUUUCUGGUAUUAUUCAUUUGGGCCAUGCUUGUUGCUCUUUCAUCCAAUUGUCAUUUUAUUUUAUUUUCAUGCUUUCUGCUUUUGUUGGAUAAAAGCAUGGAGAGUAAAUCUUGCAAAAAGAAAAAAAAGGUUUCAGUUGUUUUAUUUAAAAAGAUUAAUCAGAAGGACUGAAUUGUUUAAAAUAAAAGUUUUGAUAUAUAAAAUUGCCAAAUAUUUAUUUGUUGUUAAUGAAGAAAAAUAGAGGAACACUCCAAUCAAUCAAUCAAUUGAGAAUUGAAGAUUCCCUUUUGGCUCAUUGAGUGUAUUAUAGUUGCAUGCUUUGUUUCUUUUUUUAUCCAAUUGUCUUUUCAAUUUUAGUCUUUGUGUGUUUUUUACUUUGCUGGAGAGGACAAUAAAAGAAAUAGCAAAAAUGUUUAAGCAAAAGUUAGAGCAUAUUGAAAAACGUGGUCAAUGGGCCUACGGCCCUACUCUACACGCACACACAAAUUUAAAAAAUUAAAAUAAAGGUGAAAAAGGUCAACAUGAUUCCUAUAUCUUAUUCUUUUUGCGUUUUAUUUGUUGAAAUAAUUGUACGGGACAUGAUUUUUUAAAAGAAAAUUAUCUUUACGAAUUAUCUUUUAAUUUUUAAUUUUAUAAAUAAAUAAAAAAAUAUAACUAAAAUAUAUUUAAAAAAAUUAUUUAAUUUAUAUUAUUGUAAAACCAGUUAAAUAAAAUAGAUUUAUUAUUUAUUUCACAUAUUUUUAUAUUUAGUAUUCAUGGAUUGAAUAAUAUUAUAUAUUUUUUUUAUAAUUGAUAUGUUUUAAUGAUGUAAAAAUAUGUAUUUUAAAAAAUAUCAAAAUUAUAAAAAGAAAUAUACUAAAAUACAAUAAAAUUAAAAAAAAAAUCAUCUAAGGAUGCCAAUAAAAAUAUAAUUUCUACAUUGCAAUAUAUAUAGAAAUUAGGAAAUUAUUAGAAUACGUGGAUAUUAAAAAAAAAUAUAAUCUUAUUUAUAUUAUUGAUUCGAUUAGAUUUAACUGAAUUUUUAUUUUCUUAAAAAAAAUCACAUCAUUGAAUUAUAGGAAUUAUCAAACCGUAACCAAAACUAUAAAACCAUGAUUUUUGUUUUGAAUUGAAUUGAUGAAUUUAAUCAGUCCAGUUUAGUUAAUUUUUGUAUAGCCCAUAAAUUUUUAUAUAGAUGUAACAUAAUUACGAUGCGGACGGUUAGUAUUAAUUUAAAUUUAAAAAUUAAGCCUUUACUUUUUAUUUAAAUAAAUUAUUUUUGGCUUCCAAUUCAGUUUCGCUUUCGCAUUAGGACUUGUUUAACCGACCGAUUUCUUAUAUAUAUAUUGACGAAGCUAUUGAAAAUACAAAAAGAUGGAGAGCCACACAUUUCACUGCCACCCUUAUGCAGAACGUGUACAAAUGUGUCAAUCGCUGAAUGGUAGUCAUUUUGUUUUCCAUUUAAUAGAUAUAGAUACACCCACAGAAAAUCAUCAUUUCUUUUCUUCUUCUUUUCUUUUUUUUCUAAAAUAAUAGAGCUUUAAGCAAAUGGAAUUAAGUGAACAAAUUAAGAAGAAAGGCAUGCAAACCUUGUUUCUACUUAAUUAGGAAAAAAACACAACAUAAUUACAUGAGAAAGUCAGAAAAGAGAGGUGGGUUUGCUUGAUUUUCAUAAUAGUACAGCUAAAACAAAAAUGUAUUGUGAUGUGUUCAUAAUUAUAUGUCGGAUUCCCACUAUAAAUUAGUAGUAAUUGCUGCUGUUAAUUAAAUGGGUAUAAACAGAUUUGCAGUAUAUUUAAAGAGCAAUUAAUGGCAGCAAGUACGGAUUCUAUGUGAAUUAUUAUUAGUGGUCACUGUAGUAAGCAAAUAAUUUCAGCAAUCCAAUUGAUAUCAGUUUAAUUCAAAUUUCUUGUGAAUGAUAGUAAUAGAUUUUGUUUUCUUAUAUUAAAAAAAAAAAAAAGGCAUAAGAACUGUCAAUUACCUGUCAAGAAGAAGGACCUAGGGCAUGGCAGAAUCCCCCUCUGAAAGUGUAUUUACAUAAAGAGAUUUCAAACAAAUUCCAAACUAGAAUCAAGAGUUGAGAUAGGAGAUGAAAAGGGUUCAUAAUGGGGUAUGCAUUUAACAUCCUGACAAGUUAUAUGAUAAUUUCAGAACAUUCAAGCCUGUGUAUUAAAUACUAAAACAGAUUUAUUUUAUUUCUUUUUAUGAAAUAAAAAAAGAGGGAAAGGAAUUCAUUAUGGAUUUUAUAAAUUUUUUAUCUUGAAAUAAAUUCAUAUUAUGGUUUUAUUUUGAAAAAAAUCUUUAGAUUUUUUGAAUGAAAGAUCUCUUUUUCCUGAAUAAGUUUUUUUUUUUGAAAUCCAAGUUGUUGAUUUUGAUUUUGUAUUUUCAAAUACAUAUAUUGUUCCAUCGCAUGAUAAUAAGAUUCAUUUUGUAUUUUAAAAUCCAAUCUCUCAAACUCACUUAUUAAUUAUUAAUUAUGAUAAUUUAAUAAAAUAAAUAUUAUUGCUGUUUAAAGUAUGGAUACAACAAGCUCUCAAGUAAAUAUAUCACUGCUUGCAUGUACCCAACUAUUAGAUGAGUGAAAAUACAUUUAAGUUUACCACACUUAAUUUAAAUUUUAUAAUAAUUAUGUAUUUAUUAUUUAUCUAGCCAUUGAGUUUGAUACACUCAAUGAAUUAAGUUAUGCAACAAUAUAAUUUAAAAAGAAAAAAGAUAUUCCUUUACAGGAAAUUAGUAUGAUUAACUUUUACUUAUAAUCUAAUUAAAACAAGGUAAUUCUUGUAGCCAAACAAAAAAGAAAAAAAUGGUAAGCAUGAUUUGCGAUGAUCUAAACAAAUUGAGAAAUAAAUAUACAUAUCACGUUUUCUUUAUAUAAAUUAAAAUUGGGAAAUUUAACUAGAGGCCAGGAUUUUCAAAGUGUUUUAUAUAUAUAUUUAAAAAAAUUAUAUAAAAAUGAAAAGAAAAUUAUAGAUAAAAACAAAAGAGGAAAAGAAAAGCCACAACCACCAAAAGAAUAUGUAUUAAAAAACUAGUCCUAUAUAACAAGCAAUUGAAUAGGCUCUGCAGAACAUCAACAGCAACAUCAGAAGUAGUAGCAGACACAACAAGCAUAACACAAGCUCUUUUACAUACCCAUUCCUCCUUUUUGUCUCCUCAGGUUUUUUUUUUUUUUUUUUUUUUUUUGUGGGUUCACUCAGGUUUCUUUAAAGCCCUUCUUUAGGGUCCCUCUCUUUGUCUGACCUCACUAGCCUCUUUCACUUCUCUCUGUUUACACCUGUAUAAGCCCUUCUGUUAACAUUUGUACGUUAAUCUUUUUUUUUUUUGUUUUGUUUUGCUUUUCAAAGAUUAUUUUACCAUUUAUACCCUUUCUUUUUGUAAUCUUUCUUCUGGUAUAUUCAUAUAUAUGGAAAGGUCGAUCUUGAUCUUGUUGUUUUAGGUGGUCCGAAGAUCAAGGGAUUUUUAGUAUUUUCAGUUUUGGCAAGCAAGAAAAAGGAAAAAUAAUGCAUCUUUCAAGAUCCAUUUAGGAACCUUUUUUGUUUUCUUGAAUUUCAUGAUGAUGAUGAUGAUGAUGAUGGUGAUGGUGAUGGUGAUAAAGAAGAAGAAGACAGAGACAGAGACAGCUAUAUAGAGACACACAGACAGAGUUUAUCAAUAAAAUUUCUCUUCUUUUCCGUUUUAUAUUUUCCUGGUAAAUUUAGAUCGAUCCACUUUGUAGUUAUUGAAUCAUCUUCCUUUGUUUUUCUUCUUCUAUCUAUUUGUAUUUCUCAUAUAGAUAUACAUAUAUUUCUUCUCUUGAAGUUAUUUUCUUGACUUUCUUUUUUUCAAGAAAAAGGCUUAUGGGUAUAGUUUUACUGUAACUACUUUUUUUGAAUUUGAAAUACUUGAUUACCUUUCACCCAAAAAAAUAUAUUUGAUUAGCCCUAUCUUUCAUAUUUUUAUUUUGUUAUAUUGAUUAUUAUCAGUUUUAAUAAUAAUAAUAAAAAUGGCGAUCACAUCACCUCCUUUUCCUAGAAUCAAUAAAAGAAGGUUCCUUGAAUCCUCCAUCCAUGCAUUUUUCUCAGUGAUUUCUCUUUUCGAUGUCUCCUUCGUGUGUCCUUUUUUUAUACAUUUUCUUUUUGUUAUUACAUGUUGAUAUAUUAUUUAAAUAUAAUAACUCUGAUUUUUCUUGUUCAAGAUUCUUUCUUUACCAGGUUUCUAUUUAAAAGGUUUGAUCUUUUUCUAAAAGGUUUGAUUUUAUUUCGAUUACAGAGAAAAUGUCAACACCAAUUUCACCAUGUGCAGCUUGCAAACUUCAAAGGCGAAAAUGCACUCAAGACUGCGUAUUUGCACCAUAUUUCCCACCAGAUCAGCCUCAAAAGUUUGCUAAUUUACACAAAGUAUUUGGGGCAAGCAAUGUGGCUAAACUUCUCAAUGAACUCAACACAGCACAACGCGAAGAUGCUGUGAAUUCUCUUGCUUAUGAAGCAGAAGCUCGUCUUCGCGACCCGGUAUAUGGCUGUGUUGGUCUAAUUUCAAUCCUUCAACACAGGCUAAAAGAAUUGCAAAGUGAUCUUUAUAAUGCCAAGAAAGAACUUGCACAGUAUAUCGGUCCUCAAGCAAUGCUUACUACACUUCCAGCCCCAACUUUUAUGGGUCAACCGCAUCUGGGUAAUCCAUCUUCCUCGCUGAUUCAACAUAACGCAUUGCCUAUUAUGGGCGGCAUACCUGCUGGGACCGUACAUGGCCAUGGCGGGCCAUUGAUGAUACGCGAGCCCCAGCAGCAGCAACAGCAGCAUCAAAUCUUUGAGGCUCAACAGUUGGCUGCUGCUUUGGCUGCAAGAGAGCAGCAAGAAAUGCUUAGGGCUUAUGAGCAGCAGCAGCAGCAGCAGCAAGAGAUUGUGAGGUUUAAUAGGGGUUAUGAUGUGCAAGAUCCAGUUCAUAAUAAUACCGCCGGGUUUAAUCAGAUUACUGUUGCUGCAAUGUCACCUUCUUUAGCUUUAGGAAGUUUUGAUACUCCUUAUCAGAUUCAGUCACAGCCAUUGGAUCAUCAGCAGCAGCACCAGCUUCAAGCACAGCUUUUUCUUCAGCCAACAAAGGUAGAGACUCCGCCACAACAACAGCAUCAGUUUCAACAAACCCAACAACAGCAGCAGCAGCAGCAACGGUCUGGAAGUGAUGAGGGUGGGAGCAUAGGCCCAUCUUGUUGAUGUUACUUUUGUUUUGUUUUAUUAUUUUACCAGCUCUUCAUCUGCCACUUAUUCUAAUUCCUUUGAAGCAAAUUUCCAUUCUAGUUAGGUACGUAAUCUCUUACUUUCUUUGGGUGGUGGUGGUGGGUGGUAUUGUGCUCGUGCACAUGAGUGUUUCAGUCUCAAGAAUCACUAAAAAAUGCUUAGUAUUUAUGUAUGCUUUCUAUGCUUUUAUGUGAAAUCUGGUCUGUUUUUUCACAAAUGGGGCAAUUUCGUUUGGUAGCAUUAGAAAGCUACAAUUACUAUCUAUUGCAUAGUGCAAAAAGAAUUGGUUGGUAUGAAGAAUUAUUGUCUUUUCACUGCAGAGGAUAUAUCCCUUUAUCAAUUAUACCUUUCACCUACACUUUCUUUGUCUUGACCUAGUUCUUAUUGAUGAAUAAUUUUGCUUUGGUACUACUUAUAUAUAUUAUGUUUGAAAAGAAAAAAAUUAAAUCAUGAAUUUAAUUGAAAAUGAUGAUUUCUUGUAUUUAGUCAAAUGCAUGUAUAAUUUGUAGAAGUUUGUUAAGACUAGAACUUUGUACUACCCAUGUGAGAAAAGUGAGUAUUUUUCUGUUCUUGGGAAGAGACAAAACCUGAGGUAGCUACAUGGCUUUUAUGAAAUAUUUAGUUGCCCUAAUUCAGAUCACUAAAUUGACCAGUGCACAUGAUUAUAAUUUGUUCAUUGUGUGAGCACAAAUUGUCGAGCUUCAAACUAUUCGUCUUGCUCCUUUGUUCUACCAUUUUUACUUUACUAUGCACCUCCUCAUUGACAAAUAACUCACAACACCAUGAAAUUAUUCCCAGAUGAAAAAACAUAUAUAUAUAUAUAUAUCUUUUAGAAAUAUCUUUGAGAUCAUAUGGGCAUCAGCAUGAAUUUAUGAUAAAAUUAGAAAGCAUAUUCUGAAGAGUCUUUCAAUUGCCUUUUUGUUUUAUUUUUUCUUUUCUUCCCUUUGUGCAGGUCAUAAAUGCCAGAUGCAAAUGAACAUAAAGAGAGAGAAAGAGAGAUUAAUUAACAACUGUGAUCUGAAGUCAGCAUUAUUAAUUUUUGGGGUUUGAAGAAGAAGAAGAGGAAGAAGAAGACUUUGUGGGAAGUGAUAACAUUUUGAAAUGUAGGAUCUGCAUUGAAUUUCGAGUACAGCUCUUUUCCUUUUUCAUUUGGUAGAGAGAUUAGAGAUGCUUAGUCCUUUUUUUAUUGCAAAAACUAUGCUUAACCAUAUAUAUGUAUAUCAGAACUUAUUAAGUUCUUUGUCUAAAGCUUUUAUAACCAAAAUUAUUAGUGGAUAUGAAUUGAGUGAUAUUUGCUCAUGGGCAUGUUUUGAAUUCUGUUUAUAUAUAUAUAUAUAUAUAUAUAUAUAUAUAUAUAUAUAUAUAUAUAUAUAUAUAUAUAUAUAUAUAUAUAUAUUUGUCUAUGUUUAUUAUCUGAUUUAGUUUACAUUAAAUUAUAGUUGCUUAUAUAAUUAGCUUUUUUCUUUUUCUUUAUACUAUGCUCUAUGAACAGUUUUUUAAAAAUCGGUAAUAUAACGAAAUGGUACGACUAAAUUCAAAGUAUUUUGCCGCCCUUUAUAAUUCGAUAGAAUUUGAUGAUUCUUAUAUUUUUCAUUAUCCAUUCUAGAAAUAAUUAAUAAUUUUAAAAAUAUUAAAUAGAAUUAAUUUAAUAAAUUAAUAUAAAUAUUAAAUAUAAAUAAAAUAAAUAGAAUUAAGAAUUAAUAAAUUAAUAUAAAAUAAAUAUUUUUAAAUAAAUAGCAUAACUAUAAUUAUUAUAUAUGACGGUCAUUAUAUAAUAAUUAAAAUUAUGCUAUUUACUUUGUUUAAUCCUUGUCAGAUAUAAAAAUAAAAGUUUGUGGAAAGAAGGUGAAUAAUAGUUUUUUUUUUUUUUGUCUUUUGUGAGGGUGGGAUGAAAAAUACCUUAUUUACAAUAUAAUUCAGUUAAUGAGAGAGAGGGAGAGAGAUUAAGAAGAAAGCUUUGCUUUAAUCAGUUUGUUUUCAAUUCAUGAAUGUUAUUUCUUCUAAGGCUGGUAAUUUUGACACAAUCAUUUUAAAUGAUACAAUAUGAUAUAAAAAUAGAUUACGACCUAUUUAUAACACGUCAAAAGAAUUAGAUUUGAAUAUAUAGAUAUGCUUAAUCUGUUAAAAUUUGAAAUAAUACAUAUAAUAAUUCAUAUUAAUAUAUAAACUUGUAAUAUAACACGUAUGAAUACGAAUAAAUAUAAAUAACUUAAUGAUUAAUAAAUUUUAUGCAUUUAAAAUUUAUGAUUGUAAUAUUAAAUAUGAUAAAAAAAAUAUGAAAUUGCUUAAAGAAAGAGGAAGGGAAAUUCUCCUCCUUAUAAAAGAAGGAAAUACAUCACUUUUCUACUUAAAAAAUAGUGUAGAGUAAUUUAAAAGUUCCAAAUUUGGAUUUGUUCAAAUUUUUUUGAAAAAUACUCUUCAAGUGUUAAAAAAAAUUAAUUAAUUUAACGAAUUAUAGAGGUUGUGUCGUACAACCCGCUUAACAAAUGUGCGCUUGUGUGAGGUGUAAAAUCUUGACAAACUCAAUUGAAUGAGUUGUAUUAAUCAUUUUUAUAUCAUGCAUAUAUCUUGACACGACACAAUUAUACAUAAUUAUAUUAAUUUUCAUUUUUAACAUCUGAAGAUGUCGAAGUGAUUAGGAAGCUUAUUUCUAGAGAAAAUAAACUAUAGCAUUGAUUUAAUCUUCUUGAAGUUUAAGAAUUUAUAGCCUAAAUACAUUUUAAGUUAAUUUUAUAAAAGGAAUUGAAUUAAAUUAACCAUAUGAUAAGGGAUUCUUUUUUUUUUUUUUUAAAGGAGUAGUUUAUAUCAUCUUGGAAUUGUUAUAUUCAAUCUGGGUUCAGCUCAUAGAUUUCAUAUGUGACCAUGUGCUUGGUAGUACUGUAGUUGUCAUUAUAAGAUUGAUCUAUUUUAAGUACCAUUGACUACCAUUGAAAUUUGAAUGUAGAAAGUAUAUUUAGUAUGUAUAAUAUUUUUAUAGUUCAUUUAUUGUCUAAGUUUGAACUGUCAUUUCCCUGUAAGCAGCCUUGAUUUAUUUACUUAAAGGCUGGCUUUGCCUUCAUGAGAAGGAAGCAAGGACUAUUGUUUAUACCUUGUUUGGGAUCUCUAAAAGAAAAAUAAAAAAAAAGCAAUAUAUAUAUAUACAUAUAUAAAAAGGGCUGGUUUUGCCUUGAUCAGAAUCAGAUCAAUUAUUGACUGAAAAAUACCAACUCUUCAUAUUAACUACAGAAGCUGUACGUUGGUUGUAUAGGAAGUAAUCAUUGAAGUCAAAUCCGUAAUUAGAUGGCUUUGAUCCUUUUACCUAAUUAAAAUAAUCAAACAGGAGCAAAAGGAAAAUUAGAACAACAUGCUUUCUUUUUGUCUAGAUUAUGAGGUUUUUCUACAUUUGCUGCUUACAUUGGCCCUAUAUAGAGUCGAGACAAAUACUAAAUCCACUGACUAUUUUUUAUAUGUCCAAACUACCUUUGAAUUAAUAGCUAUAGAUACACAUUGAUCGGUCCAAAUUAUAUAUAGAUAUUUAAUGGUAUUUUAAAGCUUUAAUGAUAUAUUUCUAUAUAUUAAAUGGUGAAAAUAUGUGUUUUGACCUCACUUAACCUUAAUUGUCUAUUUUCAGGAAUAUUAGUAAAAAGAGGAAAAUAUGGAGCUAAAAGAAGCUUAAUUGGACAUAUUUGUAUCAAGGCCCAAGAUUAAGACGCAUGGACUGCUAAUUAUAAGGCCCAAUGGAUAUUUUAGUCAUUUUGUAUAAUUAUUAAAAUUUAUAUUAAAAGUUAUUUAUGAGAUAGUAUUUAGUGGAGAUUAAGAUACCUAAAGUCUUAUCUAUUAGAUAGACUUAUAAUAGUAUACUAAUCUCUAGAGAUUUAUUUAGAGGAGGACUAUCCUCUAUAUAAAUAUCUGCAAAACCCUAAAAGAAGGAGGGGAGAGAGGAAAGAAGGAAGAAAGAGGAGAAUUUUUUUCUACCUGCUCUCUACAACUGCCACCAUUAUUAAUUCUCUACAGUUCUUCAUGAAUACUUUAGUUUUAGUUUUCAUUGUUCUUUUAGGAUCUAAGGAGCUUUUCAAGAAGUGGAGACUGAGGACCAAUCUUCUUCCUACUUGAAGAAAUUCUGGCUUUUUACUUUCUUAUUUUUUAUCUUUUAUAUUUAAUACCAUGAUCAUUGAGUUAAAUAUGUUAGGCUAGUUUUCAUAAGUGUUUAGUUUAGUCUUUCUACUUUUGUAUGAACCUUGUUAUUUAUUUAUUUAAUGAAUAAUUUCUUUACCUUCAUAUCUUUAUUAGUUUCAGUUAUUAUUGUUAGUUAACCAUCAUAUUAAUUUAGCAAUAGUAAUUGUUAUAAAAAUCUUUAGGUUUAAAAGUAUUAGAAACAUCAUUUUUACUUUAAUCUAUGUUGGUAUAAGAAACCUAAGUUGCAUCAUUAGCUUGAGUGAUUUAGGAAAAAGGCACAUCACCAUCUGAUUCAUUAGAUCUAGGCUUAAAAUAAAACAAGGAGAUUACUAAGUAAAUAGCUAAAUUAAAUACUAUUUUUAGCAUAUAGUUUUAGAUCAUAAGCAUUUGCAUUGCACAUUUAUUUAUUGUUUAGUUACUUUACUUUAUGACCAUUAUCCUCUCAAACAUACUAUUUAGAGUGUUUAGAUUUACUUUUAUUGUUUUGUGUUGGUAAUUAAUCUUUAUAAUAAGUGGCAUCAUGGUUCCUUGNNNUCAUUCGCAGUCGAGAGUCAAAUCUACCAUAAUUAGAAGACUUUAAUUUAAAUUUAACUGAGCAUUAUGUUAUGCUAGUGUAUUUGAAUCUCUAUAAAUUUACUAAUUUAUUGUAUUAUAUAAUUUUAUAUAUUUAAAUUAUUAUUUAACAAAAAGUUCGCAGCUAUGCUUGGUAUAUGUCUCUAUUUACACAUUAGACGGUAGAUGAUUAACACAUAUUUAUUAGUUUUAAAUGAUCGUCUAAUACUAAAUUAUAAAGCACACAUGCAUACAAGUCACUCUUCUAUUAAUUUAAGUGUAUACAUGUCUUAUUUAAUAUAUAGUGAAUCUCAUAUUAUAGUAAAAUAUAUUAAUAGAAUUAUUAAUCCACAACGAGAAUUUAAUGAUAUGUGUAUUGUACUACCUUAACAAAUCUUCAUUAAGCUCAAAAUUAUGAAUUUUCUUAUGACAAAUAUCUAAUUUUAAUUUAUCUCAACUCUUAUUUAUAAAAUAAUAUUUUUAUCAAAAUUAUUUUAUUAAUUAAAAAAUCUCAAAAUAUUAAAAAUAAUUUUAUAAAAUAUUAUAUUAUCGUAUUAAAUAAAUAAAAGUUAAAGUUGGCAGUUGGCAGUUGGCUAAUCUAAAUUCGUAUAAAAGUUAUCAAAUAUUUAAAAAUAUAUAUUCUAAUAUUCUAUAGUCAUUUUUACGCAUUGAUGGCCUAAUAGGAUAAGGCCACACAAAUAUUAGUAUAAUACUAAUAAUUUAUUUAAUGCAGAGUAAGAGAUUUAAAUAUAAAAUUUAUACUUCAAAAAUAAACGGUAAUACCAUAGUGUAAAAAAUAUGGAUAGAUGGGUUCUGUUAGUCUAUAGUUUGAACCCUUUUGUAUUAGAGGUUUGAAAACAAUUUUAAGGGGUCAAUCAUAAGAAUAAAAAUGCAUAACAUUUAAUAAUUUGAGCCGAUUUGAUUGAAUGGUACCUUCAGAAUAUUCGUGCAUGUCAAUGUGAUAAAUAUUCAAAAAAAAUAAAACGUUAGAUUGAAAUUCCAUUUUAAUGUCAAAUCCAUGCACGUGGCAGUCUUCCUGCCACCUCAUAAAUAAAGUCAACAGCAAAAGGUCGUCCAAAAGAGAAAAGGUGGAGAAUUAAAUAAAUAAAUAUUAUAAACAAAAAUGAUAGUAUGGUGUCGGUUGGACUGCUAUUCAUUUUUUUUUUUUCAUAAGAAAACAUUAGAAAUAAAAAAUAAAAUUAUAUAUAUAAACUUUAAUAAAUAAUACAAAACUAUAAAUUUACAUCAAAUAGUAAUCACUAAUCAGGCGGCCGUUCUUUCAAAUCCUAACGUAUACCGGACCUCAUCUCAAUGAUACAAAAUUCAAUGCAUUUGCUGACUGCAUAAAUUGUCCUCUAAAGUUAUAAAAUUUCGUCCGUUUAGUCUAAGCUAAGUUUGUAUUGUAGGUCUGGAAUUUAAUCACUUGAUGCCACACAUUUUAGCUAAUAAGAGCAUCCACAAUGACAAAUUUUUAAAUGAUUCGUAUUUUCUACAUAAAUUCUCUUAUAAAAUUAUAAUAUGUGACAUAUUUUACGGUGGAUUAUAUUUAUUUUAAUUAUUUUUUUAAUAAUCAUAUUAUGUACCGAUAUAUCAUAAAAUCCUUAAUCGCGUCAUAAAUUAGUGAAAAUUUUAUAAUUUUUAGUAUUUAAAACUUUUUAUUAUACAAUAGAGGAAGCACUCUCAAGCAGUAAGUUCUCCAGCGUUGGAAAACUAAGCCCAUCCACUAAGGCGCUAUUGGCCACUAACCACUGGCUCGCCGGCCCCUUGAGCUCUGCGUUUCAAGUUCUGAACUGGUUACAUGAGGAUUUUCAGUCCUCUGUUCUACCAACUGAGCUAUCCCGACCAUUUUUGACGCAUCGACUUUCUCAUUUUUAUUAAACAACUUUUGUCUAUGUCAAUUAAAUAAAAAAGACGAAAAAGUAUUCUAAAAUUUUAUCCAAAUCCGAAAUAUUUUCCCCAUUGCUAAAGGAAUUGUUGUAUAUAAAAAAUGUUAAUAAGCCCUAAGUGCUCUCCACUUACCUUCAAUUAUAAUGACAGAUAUAGUUACCAUUAGGCUAUUGGAAUUUCUUUUUUACAAAAGAGAUGAAAGGCUGACCGGAGAGGUUUGUUUUGGAUUCCUGAAAAGCACCCUGCACUCUAGCUCAAAAAGGUGCGGCCUGUAAUUGAGUGAUAGAUUGAUCGACGUGUCCGGAGAACGCUCGACCGUGAGUCCCAAGGUGAAAGGAACUUAGCAAAUGGGGUCCGGCUUCAUCAACCCAUGACAGAAUAAGGUUUCAUUUUUUUUGAAUGGGUGUUAGUGAGGAUGAACAUGAAGGUGAUUGAUUACAACAACUACAAGAUUACUACUCCAUUAAUGACUUUGAUCUCUCUCUCUGAAUUAUUGGAUAUGAGGACACAAAUUUUUAAUUCAAAUUGAUUACCAAAAAUAAAAUGGAGGAAACAAGGAGAGAAAAGACGAGGCAAUAUGAAAAUGAGAAUUAAAAGAAAAUGGAGAAGUACAGGCACAGAACCUACACUGAAAUAACAAUUAAUGGAAAGGAAGGGCUGAGCACGCAAUUGCUCACCAACACACUGAACCAAUUUUCUGUUGCCACCACUGAUAUUAGUAUUACCCAUCAGUACUGACCACUCUGCUGUUUCAGUCCCAGUGAGAGCACCACCCCCACAUCUUCCUUCUUAGUCUCUUUUGUCCCCUUUAUUAAUACCUGCUUUCUUUUUCUCUUCUUUUUUCCUUUUUCUUUUUAUUUGGUUCCAUCCUGUCUUUUUCCCACCAAGUUUUUUUUUCUUUAUUUCUCUACUGCUCCAACUCAAGUUCUAAUUAACCCAAAUUAUAAUGCUAUACUCUUUUUACCAAUAAAUUCUUCUUUUCUAAAUCUUUUUGUUUUUUUGAGCUAUUUUCUAAGCCAAUUAUUCACUACACAAUUACUAAUUUUAUUUAGUCGAGUAGAACUUGAAAAGCAGAAAUUUUCGAUUAAUCCUUUGGCAGAUUUCCUCAAAUUCAACUGUGAUGCUUCUUAUAUAAAAAGUUCUAAGAAAACAUCUUAAGCUUUGUUUAUCAGAUAUGCCAAUGGUCAUGUUUUUAUUGUCCAUCGUUCUUCUACUAAAGCAUCAUGUUUUUAAGCCAAUCUUUUUAUUUUUAUUUUGUAUAUUUAUAUUUGAUAUUCAUGAAUUAAAUAAUAUUUUUUAUAACAGUAAAUGUAUUUUGAUGAUAUGAAAAUAUAUAUUUUAAAAAAUAUACUAUAACAUAUAAAAUAUAUAUUAAAAUAAAUUAAAAAGUCAUUUAAGGUUGCUAAAAAUAACAUCAAUUUUAUAUUUAUAAUAGCUAUUUGAGAUAAAUAUGAAUGAAAAAUAAAAAUGAUGCUGAUAUAAUUUUACUAAAAAUGAUAAUAUUAUAAAAAUAUCAAUAAAAUAUAAAAAAGAUAAAUAAUACAACUUAAAAAAAACAAACUGUAUAAACAGAAUUUGUUCGAAUCUUAGGUCAUAAAUACCCAUUUCCUGUAUACCUUUUAUUUAAUGGGCCUGUGUUACUAUUUUGAAAUCAAAUUUAAUUACGUCAAUAAAUUCUGCAAAUGACGACACAUAAAUAAAAGAAAAAUGAAAUUCCACGUGGAAACUUAUGUUUUUAAUAGUGGAUGAGGUCGGUCACAUGCUGACUUGUGUGCACUUUCAAGUUUAUUUAUUUAUUAAUAUAAUUAAAUUCAAAGUAUUAAUUAGGUUAAAUAAAAUAAAAAUAAUAAUGAGAAAAUCUAUAAAAUCCAAGUCAGCGAAUAAUUGGAGGAUUGAGUGGGGGGAAGUGGGAAUAGUAGGAGUACAGGCUUAAGAUCCGUCAGUUGAUUGAAGCUUAAGGUUUAGUCACGUCUUAAAAGUGAGAAUUCUAAAGGGGUCAAUCAAAACGACUGUGCUGCAGAGUGUUGUAAAAAGUUUCCAGUUAAUUUUUCAUUCAAUGUACGGACGAUCCUGACAUGAACAUACUAAUUAAUUAAUUAUAAUAUAUAGACACCUGCUGUCUACGUAAUUGAACUCAUUUUUCACCUCUUUCUUAAUUUUAUCUAAUGCUUUUGUUUUAUUUUAAUAUUCUUAUAGUAUUUUAUUUACUCUUAUUGAUAGAAUUCUUCUUUUUUCUUUGUUUCUAUUUAUAAAGACUAAAUUAAUCUGAGGUUGAUUAUUUUUUAUAAUUAUGCCGAUGAAAAAACUAAAAAAUAAUAAUUUUGGGCAUAUAUGCAUUUCUUGCAUGUAAAACCCAUAACCAUUAAAUCAGCUACCUUACAAAUUAAUAUAUUUAGCUUUAUAUGAUUUAAUAUUAGCCGAACAUUCAUUUUCAAUAAUAAAAUUAUUUUAUAGGUGAUUUGCCAUUAAAUCAAUUAUCAUAAUACUCCUAAGAAUAUUAUAAUGUUAUUUUAAAAAUUAUUUUAUUUAUUUCUAAUAAAAUAAAUAUAUAGUAACUUUAUUUAAUAUAAAUUCAAUAUAGUCAGUUAUAUGUUAAAUCACAUAAUAAGUGAUUUUGUUAUUGAAAAUAAGUAUUAUACUAAUAUUAAAUCAUAAAAAUAUAAAAAUAUUAGUUUAUGAGGUAAAAAUAUAAAAAAUUAACAUGGUACUUUUUUGUCAUUAAAAAAAUUAGAGUCCUUAAGUAUAAAAGCGUCAAACUGCAUGAUACUAUUUCUAUACCUUUUCUUAUAUUUAUUAAUCGAUUAAUUGAAUCUUUUUCAAUUGGUAAAUUAGAAUUAUUAAUAUUAUUUUGGUAAAAUAAAGAGAGUAGAAAAAUAUAACACUCUAUUUAUGCACACUUUUCAUGCAUAAAAAAUGGUAAAUAUUAGUAAAAUCUUGAUGCAAUUUAUAGAAUGUAUUAGAAGCAUAAAUUAAAUCUAAACAAAUAAAUUAAAGAAAUUAUUGAGCUUUAAAAAUUUAAAUUAAACUUAAUAGUAUAUAAAUGAGAUAAUAAUGGUUUUUUCUAGUUUAAUUAAGGUUACGAGUUCAAAUCUUGGAUAUACAGUUGUAUUAAAAUUUUUUAGAAAGUGUUUUGAUAUCCGUAAAAGUCAUACCUAACACGCUCUAAAUUAACUCUAGAUAUGUGUAUAUCAAAAAAUAUUUAAAUUUAAUUUAAAAUUUAAAAAGUUUAAACAAAAAAAAUGUCUAUAUUCUUUCACAUUGAUAUAUUUGGACCCUAAAUAUUAAAAUUAAGGUUAAAGUCUCAAAAAAUCCAAACAAACCAACAUAAUCCAUUUGCCCCACAUACUUUUGGAGCCCUAGGCCUAUGCCAGCACUCGCCAAUCUUGACUUUGUGAUUUCAUAAAGAAAACUCUGUUUCUUGCCUCGUUUGCCUUUCUGGUUUUCAGUUUUGGCCUCCAUUCCUUCUCUCCAUUUUCCAUUUAAAUUUAUAAAAGAAAACGAAGAACUGUAAACUCAUCAUCAAUCUGUGAAAAACGUAAAUUACACAAAGAAAAAGGAAAAAAAAAAUUGGCAAAUUAUACAUUUGAUUAAUUGUAAAGACUAAAGCCCAUCGUACCAAUAUACUUAAACUUUAUUUCAAAAAAAAAAAAAAAACAAAAAAACUCAAUGAGAUAAUUCUUCCAAGAUGUGAGAAAUUAAACUCUCUGCUUUUCAAUUAGCUAAUUUGUAGAAGAAGUAAAAUAUAAAUAAUAUGAUAAUAAUUUAGUCUUAGAGUUAAAGUUUUAGUAAUUAAUAAUCUCUACAUUAUAAGUUCUUUUUUCAAUUAAAAUUAUUAUCUAUCUGAGAUUUUUUUUUCUCUUUUGUUGAUAGUUUCUGAUUAUUAAUGAUAAAUAAUUAUUAAUUAAAAUAAUUUAAAUGACUAAACUAACUCAAUUUUACUAAAUAAUCAGUAAAAUCUUUUGGUAAAUUUAUUUAUUUUUCUUUUUUUUUUUAAUCUCUACUAUGCUUUUAAAUUUUCUUUUUUUUGAAAAGAGAUAAUGAUUAGUAUAUGUAGUGUUAGAGGGAAUGGGAGAUUUUUAGAUGGGCGACUAUGGCAAAAACCCUUACCAAUCCGGGUAAGCCUGAAUUGGUAUAUGCUUUUAAAUUAAAACUAAUAAUAUUUUAAGUAAAGAUAUGCAAUGCCUGGGUCGAUGACUAUACCAGGGAAAUGACAUAUUAUAAUAGUAUUAAAUAAGUUUAUGGUUCCACAUGCUAAACUCAGCUGAGUUAAACAAUUUCUUUUUAUAGUCUGUUUGUGUGCGAAUUGCAGCAAAAACUCGGAGAGAGAGAGGAGUGGUGGUUCAGGUAGGAAGGAGGGUUUGUCAUUUGGCAAACAUAGAUUGUACUGUGUUUUGUAAUCUAAUAGACAAGUUACGGGGAAUUAUUUAAGGACAAAUGUUUGCCAUUUGUUUCAUUGUUUUAUCAGUCUUAUUAUCUUUUGGGAAAUCCAUUGAUAAAUUGUAAUGAGUAAAUCAAAUUUGAAAAAGAUAAAGCAGAAGAGGGGAGAUUACAUUCCUUUUUUUCAAUUACUGAUUACUCUUUAAAAGAUGCUUUAGAAAAAGAAAAAAAAGAAAGAAAGAAAGAAUAUGACAUUUAAAAGGGGUUCCUAAUUUAUUAGGGUAACUAUCAGAGUUCCCACCUCUUUGACCCAAUAAGCAAAUAGAUAAAAGAAUAAAUUACUACUCACUUUGCACUUAAUCAUUACAUAAAUUAUUACUGUAAAUAAUUUACACUAAUAGAAGGUUAAGCAAAUAUGUAGUUUAAGUUUUAUAAUUAUUUAAGAUAUGUCACUCUUUCAGUGAUAGAUUAUAAUACUUACAAAAGGUAAAAUAAACCCAGAAAAAAAUAAUCGGACGGUUAUCGCCUAACCAAUCUCAUAAUCUCAACGGUACACAUUUCACCUCUUAUAAGAAUGACCUUCAUGCCACAGUGACGCCUUUCUAUAUAUAUUUUACCACAAUCUUUCUUUCUCUAGUAGUCUUUUCCUUUCCAAGAAGUUGGGUUACAUUUUACUUUCUUUCUCAUUCCUCUCUAUUAUGAUCGUGAAAUCUUGAAAAAUAUUAGACUAGACUAAUAGUUCGUGCACUUACUUGGAUUGUAAACAAGAACCCUACUUGUCUCUCUUUCUCUCUGGGUGAGCUUUCUUCUUCAUCAGUUUGUUAUGGCUGAAGAAAACGGUGUCGUGUCCUAGUUUCCUUUUCAGUCCUUUUGACGCUUAUUGUACUUGUUCUGUGUCAGUGUUGCUUAUUGUUUCGUUUUCGUCUUUCUUUAUUCUUUUUCAUUAGCAAAAUUGAUCAAAGCUGAGAUUUCGAUGCUUUCUUGCUUUUCUUUUCUUUACAUUCUACUGUUUGGAUACAAAGAAAAUGAAUUUUGACGGCUUCUUUAAACCCAUUUUCAGUUUCUUGCAUUUCAAGAUUCAGAGAUACUUCUAGAUAUUUAUAUUAUCUUCAAUUUACUUUCCAUUUCUAGUAAUAUUUAUCACGCAUUACCUAUCGGAUUACUUUUAUUUAUACUUCUUUACUAUCUGUGUGUUUACAUUUUUUUGGCCUGUUUUUGUAGGUUUAGCAGAUAAUUCUUGAUUCAUGUUUUUCUAUUAACUUGUUAAAGUUUCGUUCUUUAGUUUGGUUAUAUUUAUAUUUGUUCCGUAAAUGGAGAAACUAUGUAUGUCUUCUUUUCUUAGUAUUCUUUUCCCUCUGAAUUUGGUAAAGAAGACGAAGUUUCUCUCGAUACCCUUCACAUCUCACCCAUUUCUUGGUACUAAUAUUAAAAAUGGAAAAGAUAUCUUGUAUUUCUUCACAGGAAAGAAAAAAAAGGAAGAAAAGAAAAGCAACUUCUGUUUUUUUUUUCUUAUUGUAUUGGGUAAGUAUGUUAACAAUGGAAGUUGGGAUUAAAUUUAUUUUUCUUCUUUCCUGUUUGUAGUUUGUGAAGUGGUAUAAAAACGAAAAAAUAAAAAUGUCAGAAAGAGAUCGCCAACCAUGUGCGGCUUGCAAGCAUCUAAGGAGAAAAUGUUCUAGUGAGUGUAUAUUUGCACCGCAUCUUCCACCUGAUAUGCUAGAAAACUUCAAAAAUUUACACGAAGUGUAUGGUGCAAGCAAUGUCUUGAAGCUGAUACGCAAACUUGAUCCUAGUAAAAGAGGAGAAGCAAUUCGUUCACUCGCUUAUGAAGCUACAGAGCGUCUUCGUAAUCCAGUCUAUGGUUGUGCAGCUGAUAUUUUAUUUCUUGAAUCAAGAAUACAACAGUUGCUUGCUCAAAUCCCAGUUGCCAGGCAAGAACUGUCCAUUUAUAUGCCACCACCUACUGCAUUUCAACCCACUUUGCCACAGCAGAGUUAUAUGACACCACCACCACCGCAACAGCAACAGGAUGAGGGUGGUAACCGACCAUCUAUUUCUAAUGAUGUAGAAAAUUUUAUGAACCAGCAAUUUUUGCAGCAGCGAUACCAGCAUUUGAUUCAGGCUCAGCAAUCGGCUGCUAUAUUAGAGCAACCUGGCAUGUUAAGUACUUAUGAGCAACAGCAGCAGUUUCUAUUGCAUCAACAACAGCAACAGCAACAGCGGCAGUAUCAUCUACUUCUACAACAGCAUCAGCAGCAACAAUUUUUAGAACAGCAACAGCAACAUCAGAAGCAGCAGUCUUUAGAGCAACACCAACAAGAAGAUCGUCAGGUUUUACAAGAACAGCAACAGAGGCUGCCCUUUUUUCCACUAGAACCACAAUGGCAAGAUGUGCAAGAGGGGCAUCAAGUUUUUCAACAACAACAGCAACAAGAGCGUCAGGAUUUACAAGAACAGCAACAGGGGCUGCCUUUUUCUCAACAAGAACAACAACAGGGGCUGUCCUUUUUUCCACUAGGACCACAACAGGGGCUGCCGUUUUCUCAACAAGAACAACGACGGGGCCUGCCGUUUUCUUCACUAGAACCACAAUGGCAAGAUGCGCAGGAGGGCCAUCAACGUUUUCAACAACAACAGCAACAAGAUCGCCAACAACAGCAGGGUCUGCCGCUUUCUCAAUUAGAACAGCAGGGGCAGCAGUUUUUCCAAGUAGAACGACAACGGCAAGAACGGCAAGAGCAAGAUUAUCUUAGUCCAGAUAUUGGAUGUGAAGGAGGAGGCUCAGCUACUUCUACUGGUGUUGCUGUAGAGCUUUCGCUUCGGCCACCACAUCCUCAGGACUCCCAAUUGCAGCAAGAGAAGUCUGAAAAUGAAGAAGCCAUGGAGUUCUGAUCCAUCUUAGUGAAGUUUUCUUUGGUAGUGAUCUUGUCAAGAAAUUUUCUGUUCAAGGUAUGUAUUGUUUACUUUCUCUCGGUCUUAAUUUACAAAAUUGUAGUCAAGUGGUUUACACUCAUGCACGUUAGAGUUCCCGAACACUUGAAGUGUGUAUGAACACGUGAGGGUUUCUUUUUGGGUGAGAUACAAAACUUGAGGUAGCUAAAAGAGAGGUUUAUGAUAUGAAUUCGUUGUGGCAAUUCCAUCUAUGAUUUUGACUUUUGUUUUUGGAAUUUGGUCAAACCACAGUAACUUUCUACCUAAUGAAAGACAAUUUGGUUUUCCAUUGAAAAUGAUGUUCCUUUUGAUAGUUCGUUCUGGUUUGAUAGUUCGUUCUGGUACAGUUUUUAUCUUGCCAAAAGAACAUUAGAAAUUCAUUUUUCAAGUCUUGUCCUAAUUGAAUUAUGCCCGCUAUGUAUUUUCAUAAGUUAUGUAAGGUUGCCCAAGAUUGCUGUAAAUGAACACUUAGCUAAUAUUUCUUUUUUCUUAAAAAAAAGAGGGAAUUUGUGGUUAGCUUAUCCAUAAUUAAACACUCUAUUUACAACAUCUUACUCUCCAUUAUAGUAUAUUGAGCAAACAAAAGAAAAACAGCAGGAUACACUUAAACUAGUUGUUUCCUUGUAGGAGGUUUUAGUAAUUAUCAUCAAAAUGCAACACUCUGAGAUGCUGAUCAAGACAUUACCUAACUCUUUCUCUCUUUUUUGCAGCUCAUUUAUAACUGCAGGACAGAAGCUAAAACAGGCGGGUUGAGAGAAGAGGAGGAUAGAACUUUACGUCUGAGAUUUAUGAAGUAAGCAAUAUUGUUUCUUUUCCGGGUUCGAAGAAAAAGAGAAAGACCCUUUUUUUUUAUUUUUAAUGGAGACACAACAUUUUGUAAUGUAGGAUUUUCAUUGAUUUCCCGGAAACAGCUUCAAGCAUUUACAUAUUUUAUUUUUUGGUACAGAAAAUGGUAGGUUCAGAGUUCUUUAGAAACUACGGUACAUGUAAAUCACAAAGUUGACAAAGUUCUUUCUACAGCUUUGCACAUAAAUUUUCAGUCUCAAGUGUAUACCAAAUUUUCUGCUCACUGCUGUUCUUCAUUACUUAUUAUCGGUUGUAAGUUAAUUACGUAUUAGCUGAUAUUUACAUUUUGGCUUAUUUUUAUAACAUUCUAACAUACAAGAUGGGAAGCUCUCAUUGUGGGGUUCUAAUUAUUCAGGAGUUUAGGUUACAUACCGGGCUUUCUUUCUUCUUUUUUUUUUUUUUUUUUCAUUUUCUUAUUUUUGGUUUCAAAUUGCUUGUUUAAGUGUCAUAAUUUGUUUUAGUUUAAUUAAUACUAUCUUAAUGCAUUAGGGUAGUACAUCAAUGUGUGUUUGUGCACUCAAAUCGUAAUUAAUGUUUUGCAAUUGCUAAUAACCAAUCAUGACUCAGCUCAUAGAUUUCAUUUAGUAUUAAUUCUGGUGGCCAUGUGCAUUGAAUUAUAAUUAGCCAAAUAAUAAUAGAAUAAUGGUUAGUAAAUAAUAUUAAAUUUAUAUUGAUCUCGAUCAUGGAGAUCCACUUUACCCCAUCACUGAAAUUUAUUUAUUUAUUUGCCUAGAUUUUCUCUUGAGGAGACCAUAAUUGAUUGAAAAAUAAUAGUAAUACUGAAUAUUAAAAGAAAUACUUGAUUGGAAGAAAGCAAGAAAAGAAAAGGAGCAUUAGAAGUAUUUGGCCAAAAAAGAAAAAUUGUGAGCCGAGUAACCGUUUAAUAUUUGAUUGGUUCUCAGAACAGACAGAGCCAGAGAAUACUUACUUUAUCCUUACUUGUAUUAUUCCCUUUGAAAAAUAGUUCGUGGUUAAGCCUUUUACAUGUGGAGGAUUGUGACCAAAAUAAAUAUUACUUGAUUUAAUUUUUUUAUAUUUUUAUUAUUUUAUAAAUUAAUAUUAUUAAAUUUUUAUAAUUUAAUGUCAGUGUAAUAUUUAUUCUUAAUAAUAAAAUUAUUUUAUAAUUGAUUUACCAUCAAACUAACUAUCAUGAUAUUUCUAAAAAGAUUAUAAGAUUAUUUCAUUUUAUUCCUAAUAAUAUUAAAAAAAAUAUAAUAAUUUUAUUAAAUAUGAAUUCAAUAUAGUUAAUUAUAUAUUAGAUCACUUAAUAGGUGAUUUUAUUUUUAAAAAUAAGUAUUAUAUUAAUUUAAAAAUAUUAAUUUAUAUUAUAGUAAAAGUAUUAAAAAAAUUGAAUCAUAGAGUAUUUUUUUGUUAAAAAAAAUUAUACUCCCAAAUAUAAAAGCGUCAAACUAGAAUUUUUCUUUUAUUUUUUUCUAUUUUUAAUCAUUAUUCUUACUUUGUAUGUGCAUAUGGCAUGUGAUAUUUUCUCUUUCUAGGAAAUUAUUUUAUUAUUUACGAUUUGUCUUAUAAACGAAAAUUUGAAAUUAUAAAAAUUAAUAUAAUUAUUAUUACAAGUAAUUAAUUUUUGUACAUGUAAGCAUAGUUAGUUGAAAAAGAAAGAGGGCUAUUCAUUGUGUAAUCUGGAUCCAGUGAGUCACUUAAUAGAAAAAAAAAAAAAAAAAAGGAAAUCAAAUGAUUAUGAGAAUUUUAUUGUAUAAAUAUAGUCUUGUAAUAUCCUUCAAUUACUUUAGGUUAAAUUUCACCAUAGGCCAUAGACUAUCUCCCUGUCAUGAAAACUUGAGUUUAAUUUCUUCAAUCAUCAUGAUGUCUUCUAAAUGACUGCUGUUGUCAUGAACUUCAUCUGCUUUUCUUGUUCCUCUUCCUUGAUUCUUUCUGUGCCUCUCGAGUGCUUUUCAACUACAUGCAUCACAUUGCUCUGCUAUCGAUAUAUGGAACAUAUAUGUCUGAACAUCUUGCACAGGGAUUUUGAUACAAGACAAAGUAUUGUAUCUGUUUGGAUAGCUAGAAACUUCAAGAAACGGUGAGAUAAGAGAGAAAACUCACACAUGUAGCCAAAUUGUAUUAUCAAAAAGCACCACCGAGUAGUAUUCGCUAUUUGUAUUGUUAAUCCAACUUAUGAAACUUGCACUCUCCUAAUUCUAAAUUUAAAAAGAUUCUCCACAAAACAGAUUUUAUCCACUAAACCUCCACAGUUAUCAACUUCAUAAUUUCGAUCUUAAAAAUAAAAUGGGUAUAAAAGAAAUUCUGAGAUUUGACAAGAAGAACAAUGUGCAAACAGUUUACAACUCCUAUAUAAUUUAAUCUGAGUCUGAGGAACCCUUAUAACGGUCAUCAAGUGUUGUUACCAUUUUAUAUAGGUUUUCUUCAAUGUCUUCUAAUUCAUCCUUUGCAAAACCCCAGCUUCUGAGUAACUCCGUCCCAAGUGCUCCUCGCUCAAUCCCAUAUCUACGAAGAUUUAACAGUCGGUUCUCCAGAAAUGGCAAGAUAGCGCUGCUCGAACGAAGCCUAGCCGCCAUAGGUAGAGAGUGGACAUCAAGCGAUCCCCUUGAUGAGGAACCUGGGAUCGGACUGCACAAGAGCUCACCAUGCUGGCUAACGAGAUUCCCGAAGAUUGAAGGAAAUGGCAAGGGUAUCGGAAGAGGGCAAACAUCAACAGACAGAUGGCAGAACUUUGGCCUCACUAAUGAAUGUUCAUAAGCCUCAUUAACUGUAUCUGUUACUUCAGAUACUGAAGCCUGGCAACCUCCUAGAAAGAAAAGGGGAAACUAACAAUUCAUUAGGAAGAUAAAGCAUGAAUGCUCAUUUAGAAGGCCAAUGGGAAGAGAAUAAAAACUUGUCUCAACUUGCCAAUAACAUAACUUGUCUUAACUUGCCAAUAACAUAACUUAUCUCAACUUGCCAAUAACAUAACUUAUCUCAACUUGCCAAUAACAUACUUUCAGCCAGAAGACUACUAGAGAACUCUUACAUGUAAAGGAAUAGCAAAGUUACUGAAUUUUUCUUUUUAAUGUCUUUACUCUUAUUUAUACUCGUCCCUAGUGCCAGAAAACCCUUCAUAUCUUGUAACUUUUCAUAAAAAUUCGUGUGUGCAUGAAAACACACUUUGUACUUCAUAAUAUCAAGCACUAAAGCGAUGAGAAAUCAUUCUUCAAUUAAUCAUUCAGACACUUCUUGACAAGUAAUUAGUUAAUUAUCUCCAUAUUUAAUUCAUUAUAAAACUGUAUGUAUGAAUAUGAUUUUUCAAAGCCAAGGACAGUAGAAGGGUGACUGUUGCUAGAAAGCAUAUCCAGCAUGGGAUUGCAGACUGAGAUGUUGAAAGUGAAAUUUCAAGGAUCUUUGUCCAGUGCAUUUACAAAUCAUAGCCAGUACCUGAUCCGAGGGCUCCAUGAACUGUCAGGGAUUCCACUGCUUGCAAAUCUUCCACUUCUGCUAACUCUGGUGUCAAUGGAUGUAAAUUCCAUAGAAAAGAUAGCUCAUCUUGUUUCCCUGGGAUUAUCACGCCAAACAGUUAAUUAAACUCAUUGACAAAAAUAAGGACCUGGUUUUUGAAGUUAUUAGUUAAAUACAUGAUAGGGGAGGUGCUGGCAUUGCGACAUCCAGAAUGGUGGCCGUAUUCUGUCUAUCUUGCCCGGUUAACAUCUGUACAAGUUCAUAGAUGUUCAUAGCACCAGAAUAAUAACAAGAGUCUGCAGCGGGUCCAAGUGAUUCCAUACGGAAGGGGAGACUAAUAGAGUGUAAAGCAGCAGCAUAAACUGCACUGCAGUGGUAAGGCUUCUCAUCUUCUAUGCAGAGAUGUGUGGAAGCUUUACCUUCAAAAUCAAGGAAAGAUGAUCAGAAAAGAAAACAUAGUUAAGGACAAAAUAACCAAAGAGCAAUGCUAUUAGUCAAACAAACAAGGCUAAAUUGUAGGUUGAACAGAAACAUGUAAAGCCUAGUGAAAAAGGGUAAAGCAACCUGAUUUAUAUAUAGUUCUUCAAAAAGAUGAAUAGUGGCAGUGACAAAAAUGUAAAAGAAACACAAUGUAGUACAUUGAGAGAAAGCAUAUGGAAUCAUCUAAAUGCAACUGUACUCACUUCUACUUAGGAAGGGUAAACCAGCUGGCACAAUCAUUCUACAGAAGGAUGAAAGUCUUGAAAAAGAAACUGCAUCAUGAAUUUUCCUGGAAAUUGAUUGCUUCUGACUUCUUGGAUUUGUAUGAGAACCAGGACCUUUGACAGAAUAGAGCAAAACAGGUGUAUUAGUGUACUCAUCUGCAAUAUUCUCCAGAAAAUCUGCAGCCAGAGCAGAGAAAGCUCCUGAGUCAUCAACAAUGAAUUGAAAACCCUGUCAAGUUUGGCAAAGAUUCAGCAUAAAAAGAAUUGCAGAGAGAUCAAUUAAGAUUGAGAAUGGGUACAUCAAAAAGAAAAGAGGUAUACUGUAUAGACUUGGACUCAGAAUCAAAAGAAACAAAUUAAAAUCCUCUCCGUCUCUUAAAACACAUCUCAGUAUUAACCUAGUCCCCCUUAUCCAAUUGGCAUCUUCAUUUAUUUCAACAAGCUGCGGAUACCAAGAUGCAAAAAUAUUCACUAAUAGAAGAAGAUCAAGCUCUCAUCAAAUUAGCAUAUUGCCAUUGCCUCUUAAAACUACUCAAGUAACUCUAACGAAAAGAAUAAGCAACAAACAAUCAUCAAGAAAUUUUUUCCUUUAGAAUGAAAAAGAAGUGAACUAGUUCAUAUGGCUCCUUAUAUACUAUAUCAUUUUUACAAUUUCGCUUACCUGAAUAUGGUCACACUCUUCUACAAAAAAACGCAGCCUCUCACUUACUUCUUCCCCUCGUAAACCCUCAGAGAAAAUAUCUCUUCCAGCCCCAUAAUUAUCAAAUUCCUGACUAUCCAUCCAUAAUCCACAUAAUUCAUAUAAACUCUGUGGAUGAUAAUGCACUUUUGAGAAAUCCGUCCAAAAGUUGACAUCAUUUUCUAAACAUUCAACUAUAUCCUCAUCUCGAAUUUCUCUUUGUAUAGAACUAUCCCGCUUGUUAGUACCAGUGGGUUUCGAAAUCUCCUGCUCUUCUUCAGACAAACUUUGCAAGAACAAAUUCUUCUUUGAAGGCCCAGAUGCAUGAGUGGAAAUGUUGCCUGUCCUGUGUAUUAGUCCUUGAUAUUUAGUCAUAAGAGGAGACCGCAAAAGAUUGAAAUUGCCAAAACUGGAUUAAAUGUCUCCAAUAUGCUAACAGACUAAAGACACAAGCACACAGUUUAUUUAAAUCCAAUCAAGACUUCAGCUAUAAAAAGUAAAAAAAAUGUCAACACAAUUCUCAAGAGAGAAGGAGAAAUGAUGCAUUGUUAACUAGUUAUACUAAAGAAACAUAAAAGCAUUAUUCAGCAUUUCUUACAAUAUUUAAAAAUGGGAUCGCUACAUCCUCACUUUAGGACAUGUAUCCUUCUACUUUUCUUUCUCUUUCCUUUUUAUACAGUAAUUUACCCAAAAAUUGCAAGAAAUCUAUAUUUAUCUUCUAAACAAUAAUGCUUGGAGAUACCCAUAGACAAUGUAAAGUGGAAUUUAACAGAGGACCAGAACUGAACUUGCCUUGUCAAGUUUUUAAUCUAUGAUUGAAAGAAGAAAGUCUCAGUUGAAAGAAUCUUUUAAUUUUUCUAAGUGCUGCUUUACAGAUUGAUGUUAAAAGUCUCACCAUGUAAUAACUUCUGAUGAUGUUGAUGAGCCAUCCGUAUACAGCGUACCAUGUGAACUCAUAGAUCCCAGAGACCCUGCAAUGUGAGAGAAUCCAACUAAAAUUAUUGCUGCAAACUUCUUUGUAAGGAGGCCUGAAAGCAGCACGAUACCUCUAAUACAAUCGAUACGUCUUGUCAUUAUGGCUAAAGCCCAAGGCCUCUUCACAAAGCAAACACUAAUACACUUCAGCAAUAGACUUACAAGAACAUCUCCAAACACUAGAUAUCCAAUGGCAUACAUAAAACAUAUUUUUUUGCAAUGCUAGUAACUAAACUUUAGAAUGAGAAAAAGCAUGUAUAAAACUUCCAAGAGCAUAUGCAUAACGAUUGCAGUUGAACAGUUGAAGUAGAUGAUACCACACAAUAGAUCCAGUUGCUAGAAGAAAUAAACUACACUGUACUUCUCAAUUUUGAACACAAAUCAAGUACCUUGACCGUUUAUAGAAAUAAGGCGAGGAGUAUAAGUAUGAAUGCCCUGCACAUGGUUAAGGAACAACUAUGUAAGCAUUUGUUUCUAAGUAGCAAAUAUGCAGCAAGUCAGUGAAGCUGUUGCAAAUAAGUCUGGGGAAGUCUAGCAUGCUGUGCUGCCAAAAAAAAUUGCCGGUGCUUAAGAAAUUAAAAGAAUACAGCACUACGGAAAACUAUAUACAUGAGCUAUCAAAAUUUAGAACUUAUUAAAAUUCAAAUACAAAGUAAACACAAAUAUGUGCAAGAGUAUCAAAAUUUAGAACUUGUGAAGAUUCAAAUAUAUUGAACAUACAUCAACGCUGAUUUAAAUCCAUCUUAGCAUUUUAAAAUAAGAAACAUGGAUACUACAAGCCACUUGUUUUUAUAUCAUAUAAGCAAUUAUGUUAACUUGAAGACUGACAAACUUUUUUCAAUAAGACAACUACUAACAUGAUUUAUUAAUGAAAAACCAUACACAAAAUUGGCACAUCAUAUCAUUUUCAUCAUAAUAAUAAUGUGACAAGAAGUUCAUACCUGUUGGGUUUCCCCAUUACGGUAGAGCACGUCCAUGUUAAGAUAAUCAGCACAAUGCUUGAAGACUGGAUCACUAUCAGGAUCCGUAGCCAAACCAAGCAAUUCAUCCUUGAGCAUGAAAAAGAAAAACAAUCAUUAUACAAAUAACGAGGAACAUGAAAAGAAUUCAUUUUAAUAUGUACCUGAAAGUUCCAGAAAUGAGAGCCAAUAAAAUUGGCAAAACCUCCAACUUGAACAGUCACUAUCUCCCUCAUUACUACCUGCAAUUUAGAAAACCAAAUUUAGAGUUAAUUUGGAAGCUUAAAUCAGUAAAAUGAAUUCACAAAAUUCAAUGAUACGAAGACAAGUUAAACAGAAGGAAAAAUAUAUUUAGAGUUCAAAAGCAAGAAAAGUGUACUUUUUAUUCUAAAAACAAAACGAAAAAAGGAACAAAAGGAAAUUGAGUACUUACAGUUUAUUAGGGUUUAUGAGUUGGUUAGAAGGAAAAAAAAAAAAAAAAGUAAAAAAAGAAAAGGGGUUUUAGCACAGCUCGAGCUAUGGAGGCGCACAAUGAGUAGACCCAGGAGCAUGAAACGACGUCGUUCAGAAUUGUUGGGUCAGGUGGGUAACGCUGUCGUAUUGUCUUUUUUUUUUUUUUUUUACUUUUAUCAAAAUGUUAUUAAAUUCCUGAGCUUCGCCCGAAUUAUGAGUGUUUUGAUUCGGAAGAAUCUAGUUCAACAAACUCAUUGCUUAUGCUGAAGCAGCUGCGUGUAGGGAUCGCAAUGACUGGGAAUUCACCUAUUUAAAAACUAUUUGAAUUGAAAUCUAAUUAAAUUAUUCAUAGUCAAAUUUAUUUAAAAUUUAUUUUUAUUAUUUGAAUCUAUUUCAAAUUUAAUAAAUAUAUAUAUACUGUCUAAAUUCACACAAACUUUAUUAUUCCUUAUAGGGUAAUAUAUAUAUAUAAUAUUAGAUAAAAAGAAUUUUAUUAUAUUAUAUGUAAAAAGAAAAAAAGGGACGUGCAUAUGCCCUUUAAUGGUUUUGUCGGAUCUCUCCAUUUCAGUUCCAAAACCCUAAUCCAAUACUGUUUCAUUGACAAAAUUUAUCAUACGCAAUAUUACUACCGUUGAUAGUGCCAACAACCAUAAAGAAAAUAGAAAAGAAGUUUAGAAAAGAUAUAUGUUAAUAUUCGAAGCAAGAAAAUAUUAAUAAAAAAAAAAAAAAAAAAAGAUGGAUUGAAGAAGAUAAAAAUGAAGAGGGUAAGUGGCAGUUGAUGAACAUAAAAAGAUUCCAAGAAAAGUAAUACUAUCAUUUUAAGUCAUUCAAUGUUGAAGGCAAAAUCUGGGCGUGGGCUCGCCGUAUCCUCUAACUGGGAGAUUCAUAUUUUAGUUUUACUUUUGUUAUCUGAUCAUGAAACUGACACCUUUGUCUUCUGAUUCCAAUUUGUCCUCGCACUCAAGAUUAGCUGUAAGUGGAAGUUGACAAAAGGGUACAUCAUCUCUCAUCCUACAGAUAAUUUAAACAAACCCAUUACUUUAAAUUUUUCAUAUAUUGCUAUUUGAUAUCAGGGGUUAAAGAGAUAUCAGUCUAGCUGGCUGUGUUCGGAUUCAUUUAUAAAUUUUUUAUUUUAAAUAAUAUAAAAAUAUUUUAUCCAUCAAAUAUUUGUUAGAGAAAUUAUAUAAUUUAAAAUAUAAAAUAUGUAUUAUUAUACAGUAUACGGAAACUUGGUUGGAUUUCUUAAGUAGAAGUUUCAAUGCAGACUUUUGAAUAGAAUAUUGUUAUCCUCAACACAAGAUAGAUCUAGAAGUCUCACCCCAAAACAUUAUUAAAUGCUAAAUCCCUUAGCAGCCUACGUUUUCUUUUCUUUUUUGGUGCACGUACUAGAAAAAGAAUGAUCUGAAUUUACACUUUAAUUUUCGGUUUGGAGUGGAUGUUUGAUAACUGAUUACUCGCCCGAUGACCCCCUUAAAAGAUUAUUAUUAGUCAACUAACCACUCUUUAUUUAACAAAGGUAGUACGCUGUCGUUUAGACUUUGUGCAUGGAUGUGUUUCCCCUUGUUAUUUGCUUGCAUUUUUCUAAAAUUUUUUAUUUGUUUUGGUGAUGGGACUGAGUUAUGUUACACCAGCAAGCUACAUGAAGCAUCUGUAGAGCUCGAGAUAUAUGGGUAGUAACUGCCCUUUCAUCUAAAAUUUUUCAACAGUUAAUGUUUACAGAGGAUAUAAGUUUAAAGAUUAUGUUAAAGAUGUAAACUUUGACAGGUUAUCGAAGAUAUGGAAGUCAUUAUGGAUAUAUACAAAUGCCUUGAAAGCUAAGUUAUACUUGCACCUAUAAUGAAUUUCUAUGGCCACCAAGGAAAUGAAGAAAAACCACGAGUAGUCCUACAGGUAGAAAAUACAAACUUGAAAUAAAAUAUAAUGAGAACGAGAUGAGUUACUUAAAGCUAAUUAUUUAGAGAAUUAAAAGAGAAACCCUAAUCUAACAGGAAAAGCUGGAAAGAAGAAAGAAACAUAGAUGAAGAUGACAAGAUUCGAGUGGUUCAGCUGUCAUUAUAUAAAAAUUCAUAAGAUCGAUCGUGGCAGAACUGAUUUUUUAUCUAGACAAGACCAUAUUGUCUAAAAUGGGGCACCCCAUGGAACCUUAUUUCCCCUUUGUAUCCUUCAGCCGAAGGAACUGAAAAUAAGAGGAAUGUAGCACUAAUAAUGGUUAAGAUCAGCCGAUCUGGUUUGUGUAAAAUGAUUGUUGAAGAAAAUCCGCAUGAAGAUAGUCCAGCACACCCAGAAAUGUUGGUAACCUCAGUAUCUUACCAAGUUAUUUAUAGGCAAUACUUCUUCCAAGUUAUUUAUAACAGCAGUGUUCCUAAGCAAGUUGGGGUAACUCUUAACAACUUGAUAAAGAAUGUAGAGCACAAUACCUAAAUAUUCCUUUAGCAACAUUUUAAAUGAUGGUCAAGUGCAUAGUGAUCUAACUAGUAGCAAAGCUUAACUCAAUGAUGGUAUAACAGAUAGCAAAUAAUAUGGCAACCAUUAGUAAAUGCAGCAUAUAGACAGACUUAAUUCAUAAAAGAGAGAAGCAGAUAGCGAUAGCAUUUAUCAGAUGAUAACUAUCUAUAAAAUCAGAAUCUGUCAUGUAAUAAUUUAGAAACCAUAAAAUAUGCAUUACAUAAGUUGAUGAACAGCACAGAUCAGGUAGGAAGAGAUAGAACUCAAGGUGGAGAGAAAACUUUCCGCAAAAUCUAUUCAUCCCUGAUCUCUCUGAUGUAUAACUUAUCUCUUAAAAGAAUAAUUAACUCCAAUCUUGAAUCCUAUUAUAUCUGCCACCUUCAUUAUUUUCAUGUUUACAAAUCUGAUUCCCCAUGUAUAUUUUAUCUGCAAAAUUCACAGGUAUAUCAGAAUCAGUUUUAUUACCACCCACUAUACAUCAACUUCUCCUGCCUGCUUGUGCUGCCUACCAUUCCAACUAUUACUCACUGAUCUAUCGUCAUCUUCUACUUCCAUGCUGUCACCUCCAGUACUAGACAUACCUUUGGCAGACCCACAGCCAUGGAGGGGCCCCUGUGGAGAACUAGACUUUGAAUUACUUUGUUUUGAUGAGUCGUCUUUGUGUCCAUUUUGAGCCAUCCAUAGAGCAUUUGCUUGAGCAGCUGAAGAAGCUGGGAGUUUACGGAUAUGAAGCCUGUAUUUCUGCCCACACACAAAACAUCAUCUCUACCAUAACAAAAACAGUUCUGAAAAAUGACAUUUUUGAAUCGAAAACUUACUUGCAAGUGACUUUUAACUUCGUCAUUCGUGAGCCCAUCAACUUGCAUAAGUUCUCGUAUUUGUUUAGGAGUGGCCACUGUAGAACACAAUAAUCCAAAUCAAGAGUCAGAAAAGAUAAAUACAUACUAAACAAAGAGCUCAAUUGAAGUAUACACAAAGGAAUAAAAUUAUAGUAACAAAGUACUUUUUUGGCAUAAGAACCUACAAGCCAAUCAAUGCAAUAAGCUAGAAAUCCAAAUCAUUUCCAUUUCUUGUACAAGUCGAUCUUUAUAAUUUUAAUUUACAAGAAAGAAAGAUUCACAGCUUUCAAUCAAUUUAAUCCACUUUUUUAAAGAACCAACCAAAUACCGAUCUUAGAGGACUGAAAGAAAAGGCAGUGCCAAAAGAGAGAAAUUUGGUAAUUAGUUUCUAACCUUGAGAUCCACCAAGUUGGUGUAAGGCAUCAAUAAAACGCCUGUGGAGCUCCGGCGACCAGCAACGCCUCUGUUUCUUGUAAGGCUGCUGCUGCUGCUGUUGGGGUUUAUUCUGUAUCUUGAAUUGAUCAGUGCCAUUGGUUUUUGACAUUAAAUUGCGAGAACCCAACUCAGAUACUGGAGUCAUAAGAGAAAGUCCAGUAACUUGAGACACAACCUCUUUCUCCUCUUUCUUUUCAAACCCAGAAGUUGACUUGAACGGCAUAAAUCCCCCUCCUUUGCUUCUGUGAUUGCAUAAUUGAGUUGGAUUCUCACAAGUGGACCGAUCAUCAUCUUCUUCACUUCUCUGUAAAUCAAACAAAAGAACACAAAUCACAUCUUUUUAAUCCAAAAAAAUUGCAACCUUACUUGUUUCUUUUUUUUUUUCUUUUUCUUUUUAAGCAAACAAGUUGUGAAAAGAUUAAAAGUGUACCUGUUUAGUUUCUGAUUUUGAUUCUUGAUUCUCGGAAUCAAAGUUGUUAUUGUUAGUAUGGUUAUUAUUAUUCCAAAGCUGAACAGAACUCAUCCAAUUCUUCUUAUCAAUCAUAUCAUUUUCCAAUUCUCUCUCUUCAUUUCUACAAGAAUUCCCUUUUACUGAUACGACCUCUUCCAAUUCUUUACACUGCAUUGCCUCUUCUUUUAACCUAACAAUAGCUACAAAUAAAAUCCAAAAAAAAAAAUCAAGCGAACAAUCAAAGAAGGAAAACCCAUCUCAGAAAACACAAAUUCAAGAAUAAACAAACUAAUAAAUACAUAAAAGAUUAAUAACAAAGAAAAAGCAAAAUAGGGAACUACACAUACCAUCAUUCAAAAGAAGCAUGCAAAGAGGCAAUUCACGUUUAAAAGCAUCAAUCUUUCUCAUUUCAUCUUCUAAUCUUUGAACAUAAUCAUCAAGCUUUGAUAACUUCAAGCUACUAUCUUUAACCUUCGAAACCUCUUUUAAAUACUCACUAAUCGUUUUGGGUACAUAAACCAAGCUCAAAUCUAAGCUUAGCUCCAUUCCUUUUUCUGCUCCCUCUUUUCUUUAAUUUCUUCAAGAUUAUUUAUCUCUAUAUCUCGGUCUCUGACAUAUAGCCGGACAGAACAAACAAGAGAAAGACAGCUAUCUCAAAUAUAUAUAGAGAGAAAGAAAUGAAAAAAAAAAAAAUAAAGAAAAAGAAAUUGUUCAGAUUCAGGGACGCGAAGAUUCGAUUACUUAUAUUCACACUUCGGGUCGUCGCAUAUUUUUCGAGUUAACUCGGGUGACUCCGCGAGUCAGUAGAGAGUAAAGAAAGGGGAGGUGAAUCAGCGAGUUAGUGAGUCUAAGGGUAUAAGAAUCUUUGGAUACCGUACAUACACACGCGGCGAAUUGUGGUUAUAAAUUAAUUUUGGUAAUAAAAAUAUUCUUUUUAUAGAAAAGAAAAUAAAAUAGUGUGUUUUCCAAGAUUCCAUUGGGUAGGUAAGGUUGAGGUAUCGCUGUGAAAAAAGGAACAAUUAGUACUUUUGACUUUUUAGGGCUCUUUUGGUAACAAAGUUUAUGGCCAAACACAAAACCCUAAGUCUUUCUUUCAUCCAAAUUACCAUUUUAGGUUCCAUUUUUCUUUUACUGUUUUCAUAUGUGUCAUUUCUUUUUACAAACUUUGAGAUAAUAUAUUGUUUUAAUUAUAAUUAAAACCACACUUAAAGAAUUUCAAAUUUAUUUUAGAUCGAGUUUAAAAUUUGUUAGAUCGGUAGGUCUCAAUUCUGGAUCGAAUUGAAUUAUACUUUUAAUUAAUAAUUAAAAAAUUAAAAUUUAUUUUUUUAUAAUUUUACUUCAAUAUAUAUUUUCAAAAUUUUUUUAAUAUACAUAUAUCAAUAAUUAAUUUAGAGUUUGUUGAAUAUGAUCUUUACGGGCGGUAAAAUAUUUUUUAAAAAUUUUAACGUACUUAUAUAUCUAAUAUUUUAAUUUCAAACUAUAAUUAAAUCAGUAUAAAUUAUUAUAAUCUUAUUUAUGCGAUAUUUGAUACAUUUUUAAGUUAUUUUUAAAUGAUAAUUAAUACUUAUGACUUCUCAAAUUAUUAUACCCAUAAACAAGACACAUAAGCCCCUUAUUCAGUAAAUGGAAAGAUGUGUAUGCGUAGAUCACCAACAUACUUUGCAGGAUAAAUUUAUAUAAAGAGUCCCUAAAUUAGAUUUUUGAAUCAAUAAUAAAGUAUAUAACAAAAGAAUUAUUAAAUGCUAAAAUCUAAAUAUAUUAAUAUAUUUUAAAAAAUAUCUUUUACUAUUAAUAUAUAUAAAUUUUAAAUAAUAAAAUAUACAUUAAUAAUUCAAUACUAAAAUAUAAAAUAUUUAUAAUACGUAUUACUCUCCUAAUUUAUACAGUAAAUGUCAAUAAAAAUAAUUUAUAUUUUAUAUAUUAAAACAUAUAUCUUUAACUAUAAUAUUUAAACACAAAUUUCACACUCAACUAAUUAAUAGAAAAAUGAUAAUUUUCAUACUAAUAUAUUGAAUAUAUUAACAAUAGUAGAAGACAUAUUCAAGGUGGGCAUGACCCAUAAAUUUUAUCCUUUCCAUUUAGGAUAAUAUGAGAUGAUAUUAAUUCCUCAGCAUCCAUUCUU